rnacentral:lncRNA from 1 species
GAAAUAUUUGAUUUGGAGAGAGAAGGUUGGCUACGGGACAGAAAUGUAUUUACUCCUUGCCAAACCAAAAAGCACAGCGAAAGAGAUUGAAUUGCAUGGCACAUUGUGUCCGUUUAGUAUGCAUUUAGCUCUCUCAGUCUAGCUGUUUAUCUAAUUAAACAGGCUACGUUAAGGGUUACAAGUGCAAAGAUAAUAUAUAAUGACCUCAAACUUUCCUCUUCCACGUCCUUUGAGAAGAUCCCUGAGCCUGGCUUCUGCACGGACCAUGCGCAUCGUGGUGUUGGGGCAAAGCGCUGUAGGCAAAACCGGUAAAUAUCUUUUUAUAUUUUGUCACUCUUCGAUGGUAUUUUGACAAAAAGAGCUGGUUGGCACACAUAUGCUAUAAGGGAUAAUUAGUAAAAACAAGCAUCGGGAAGAAUUAGGAACUAGGCAGAUACAAAUUAAAGGUCAAAAUUAAUGAGUUGGGGAAAUAGCUGAAAUGGAUCACUUUUUUAGCUAAUCUAAUUUGGCCUAAAAUUGGAAUUCCUUUCAUAGAUCCCCACAAUAUCCAGUUUAGUGAAUACAAAAACAUCUUUAUUGUUUAAUUUGGUUGUAAUUUAAGUUGUAUUCUACUUUUUGAAUGUGUGCAUCGACAUAUAAAUCCAUCAGAGGUCUGCAAUGGCAUCUCAGUAUUGGUCUAUACUAAAAGAGAUAAACAGAUAGAUUUUAACACAUUGAAUUGUGAUAAAAUAAAUUUGAUUGUGACAUAAUCAACACUAUUCCAUUAAGGUUUCCAUUCAAAUAUGUUUGUCAAUUUGUUCGCAUUAUGUACGCAUCAUGCAUUAAAGCAACAAUACAAGCACCAUAACCACAGCAGCGCACUGUGGUCGUUAUGAUUCCAGGAAUGCCGCGGCGCCCACCCCAAUGUAAGUAGUCAAACCGCUUUAGAAUAAUUUUACUUCUUGCUUGGGGUCUGACAAAUUCCACUGCCUACCUGUAUUACAAGUUAGAGAGAGCUGGAAGCUAUCUGUCUGAGCUUUGCCCGGCACUGCAAGGCUUAGUCCAGGAGAAUAAAGAGCAGACACUCUGCAGACUCCAGGUCUUCUAAACUAUUUGAAAACUAACAGUUUGAGAGCACUGUGGUGGUUUUGGUGUCUGGCAAGCUCAUUGAAGGUCAAGGUAUUAAAGUGAAUUAGUCUGGUGAAUAGGUUGGAGUUUAACCCCUUAAGGACACAACUUCUGGAAUAAAAGGGAAUCAUGACGGAAUAUUUCCAUCAUGUGUCCUUAAGGGGUUAAUACCCAAGUUAAAAAUGUUAUGGGUUUUUGCCUGAAAAUUAGCCCAUCUGGGAUACACAAAGGUCGACACAGUAUUGAGAUGACGGUCCCUUUAACAUUUGUAAUUUAAGCCUUCAAGCUACCUAAGAACUUUCAAACAAUGGUCCAAUUGAUGUGAUUUUGGCUUUGUUGUUAGGUUAAUGUGCUUGUGGGCAUUUACUGAUUGCUAGAUGACAAUAAUGCAGAAAUCUAGUAAAUGUUGCACGUCUACGUUUUAAGGAAUGUCUGGUUUGUUUAACAAAACCUUUUUUCUUGCCAAGAAUGCCGAACAUUUGCUUCUGUGCAAUAUGAAACACUGACUGACAAACAAAAUUACAUUUUACAUUUUUAUACUACACAAAAUCUUUGUCAAUGACUUUCAACAUUGGAACUCUCUAGGCAUUCAUUUCCUUUCCAACCCAACAGCCCCUUGUCAUGCUGGUUCCCUCAACAAUCAUGGGUAAUGUUAUCUUCAGCUGUUGAGAAUUAUGUCUUGAGUUUAGUUCCGAGAGCGCUAGCAGAGGAAGCGCAAACCUCUGUUUCUGCAAGGUAACACUGUAUAAUAUACUGACAUAUCUUCCAGACGUGGGAGGUAUGGAAUUUGGAAAGGUGGAACCAUGCCAGUGAUUUGGUUCACUUUGGUGGUAAUGCCCAAUGGCCAGACACAGAGCGUACUGUAGCCCACAAGCAAUACUCCAAACCUUCUAACCAGGACUGCCAAUGGACACGGCAUUGCUGAUGCACUCUCGUAGGAGCAGAAAUGCCCUAGAAUAGCUUUGCACAGCCACAGGAAUAAUUCAUGACUUACUGGCGGUGAAUUUGUGUGUAUGUGCGAAUCUGUGAGCGCCUGUCAAUCAGUGUAUCUACAUCUAUGUGUCUGUGAAUCUGCAUGUGUUUGUUAAUCUGUGUAUAUACACCUGUGUGUCUGUGAAUCUGUGUGUCUGUGAAUCUGUAUGUGUUUGUUAAUCUGUGUAUAUAGAACAUAUUCCAUAAUUGGAAAAGCUAAGUAUUGUUUUUUGCACAUAAUUGGUUGCACAAAGAAAUAUUUUGAUUGCACUAUUUGCAUAUUCAUAUGUCUAAGUGUGUUGCACAUUGAUGCACUUGAUCACUUUAACUGCACUAUUGCGCAAAUUAUUUUCACUGUUUAUAAAUAUUUUGAGUCUUAAAGGCACAGCGCACUUUAUUUUUACAUUGUCUUACUAUAGGUGAUUGAGCUUUUUUCACUUUAUAUAGUGCGGCUUAUUAGUAUAUAUUGUAGUUUUAAAUUCAGCGCCAUAACAUUACUUGUGUGGUUUAUCACUUUGUAUAUACAAAGUGUCUGUGAAUCUGUGAGUGUUUGUUAAUCUGUGUAUAUACACCUGUGUGUCUGUGAAUCUGUGAGUGUUUGUAAAUCUGUAUGUGAAUCUGUAAAUGUGGAUCUGUGCAUGUCUGUAUGAAUUGUGGGUGUGAAGGGAUACUGAAAUCAGAUGCCCACUUUGAGGCAUGUACAUAAUUGGAAAUGACAAAGUGAAUUUAAAGUGAAUAUGAAAAUUAAGGCCAAAGUAGUCAAACUGUAAGCAUAGCCUACUUGGAGAAUAUUUACAGUUUGAACAUUUUGGCCUUAAAUUUCAAAUUCAGUUUGGAUUUCUGAUACUAAAUGGAAUAAUCCUGUAAAAAGUGGAUUGUUGUAAAUUAGCAAGGGAAUUGCAAAAUCUAGGCUAAAAUAGGAAAACCAGAAAAUAUCCAGUUCAGCUCUUUAUUGCUAAAUUGGCUACCUUGCCAUAGAUAUUGCAAUUUUCUUACCAAUUCGCCUCAGUUCACUCGAAGACACAAUUUGGCUUGCUAGGUUACUCAUAGACAGCAGAUAUUUUGGUUUAAAUAUGAUUGGGGUCCUAGACACCUUUUUGUAUUAUUAUUACUAAAAACAUCUGACCAAAAAUCAGAUGGGAACACAAAAAAAGAGAGAGGUCCAGGUAAGUAUAUCUAACUUUGUCUUUCCCCUGUGCCCCCACGGUGACAUGUCACCUGCCAAAAGCAUGCAAACACCUGAAAAGGGACAGUUUUACUUUAACAAGUCUAAAUUCCUGGAAAAAGAUUCAUCACCACGAGAAUUAAAGGGGAAUUAGUGCACCAGAGCUAACGAAUGAACCCUGAUAAUGGAACGACUGUUCAUUUAAUGCAUGGAUGAAUGGUCUAAUUUGUGCUGUGAAAAUCUAAUAAGGGUUGCUGCAUCGAGAUCCAACUCAUAAAUGGCAAGAGAUGGUUGUGGAUUCAUGAUUUCUUCCUCGUUGCUAGUCUGCUUUUUAUUAGCCCUAAUUUGUAGCCAUGAGCCAGUUUCACAUUUCAUUCAUUUCAAUGAACAAAUCUAUUAAACUACCUGCUGGACUGCAUUUUAUGGCCAUGACAACGUAGAAAGCUUUUUCACUGUGCCUCGUAGAUUUAGGAAUCGAUACAAUUGUUUCUAGAUUAGAAUCCAAAACACCCAACACAUACCAUCCAUUAAAGGACCACUAUAGUGCCAGGAAAACAUACUCGUUUUCCUGGCACUAUAGUGCCCUGAGGGUGCCCCCACCCUCAGGGUCCCCCUCCCGCCCGGCUCUGGAAGGGGGAAAGGGGUAAAAACUUACCUUUUUCCAGCGCUGGGCGGAGAGCUCUCCUCCUCCUCUCCGCCUCCGUUACGCCCCGCCGGCUGAAUGCGCACGCUGCAAGAGCCAGCGCCAAGAUUCAGUAAAGAUAGAAAGCAUUUACAAUGCUUUCCUAUGGACGCUGGCUGCGUUUCUCACUGAUUUUCACAGUGAGAAGCACGCAGCUUCUAGUGGCUGUCAAUGAGACAGCCACUAGAGGAUUAGGGGGAAGGCUUAACCCAUUCAUAAUUAUAGCGGUUUCUCUGAAACUGCUAUAAUUAUGAAAAAAUGGGUUAACCCUAGAAGGACCUGGCACCCAGACCACUUCAUUAAGCUGAAGUGGUCUGGGUGCCUAGAGUGGUCCUUUAAAGAGACUCUGUAUCUGGUAUUAGACAAUAAACGGUACGAAAUUAGACAAUCGUCCUACAUAGUGGAUGAAUUAAAAUAUUAUUGUAACACAUGGGAAAGCUACAUUAAAUGUGCAUAUGCCUUAUGAGUAAGACCUACAACUGACCUAAAUUAAUAUUUAGUCUAAUAAUUAAAUCAUUGAUUAAAGUGUCUAUACCGUCAGUGUUUUAUUGUGUAUUUACUAAUCUUGUCAUGCUGUUUGUGCGAUUGUUUAUUUAUUAUCAUGAUUAUAUUCUUUAAUUGUGAAGGUCUGGAUGGAUGUUACUCCCUUUUCAUUUUCUGUUUUCCCCUUUUUCAUUGAAAACCUUUGUUAUAGUAAUAUUUUGAAAAAAUGUAAAUAAUAAAAAAAAACAUUUAACAAGAAUCUGAAAGCAUUCCGGAUGCAUGGCACAUUGGAGAGUUGUCACAUUGACCAGCUAGUUUUAAUGGGGCUCCAACGUACAAGUUAAAGUGUUCAAAUAUAGAUUUUUCUAAUUGUUCUUCAGUGGGUCUCUUUAAAUAGUUCUUGCUUCGAAUCUGAACAGUUCUUUAUUUGUAAUAUUUGAGCAGACACAUCGGUAAAAGAUACAUUGUUUUAUAGUAGGCUCCAAUUUAAAAUUACAGCCUCAGUCUUCUUUAUAACAUUGUAGCAAGUUCUUAAAUCUGUCCAGGGUCAACAAUUCUCCAUAUUUUUGGAACACAUACGAAUGCUUCAUUCUGUUAAGCAGGGCUUGAAAGUGUUGUGAGGUUCUACAUUGCAUUCGUAUGCUCCUUGCGUGAAAUGAAUUUAAAAAAUCACAGCUGCUACUUUGGGAUAUCAGCUGAGACAAACAGAUUUCACACUGGGCAAUGGUCUCCAUUUAAAGCAGCACUGUCACCCUCCUCUCAAACCCCCCGAAAAAUUUGUAUUUCAUGAUGAUAGAAUCUUUAUGAAAUCCUUAAUUUGACUGUGUUGGAUUUUCACCGAAAUUACACCCCAGUCGAGCGAUAUACAGAGACAAAUCAGGGACUACUUUGUCUCUGUAUUUUCCUCCGCUUGACACUUCUUUUUUUUUUUUUUUUUUAUUCUUUAUUUAUGAAAUGAUCAGACACCACAACAGUAUAUGCAACAUGAUGCAAUAAAGAACAACAUCGCAAUCACCAAAACAAUACGCAUUACUUGUAAAAAACAAACAAUAUUGCAAAGUCUGACUACCAAUCACAAACAGCAUAUCUAACAUAUGAAUGUCGUCUUUACGAGUUUGAUUACUGCGGUAUCCCACCCAUUUUAUUUUAAGUAAGACAAUAAGUUCCCAUCUGAUAGUGAAAUACACAAUGAUAUUUCACGCUAUCCAUCCAUAGCUACCCCUAGAAUGCAGUAAGAAUUUGGCUAGGUCAAUGAACCAAAACUCAGUGUACAGGGAUGACAUUUAUGCGAAGAUAUUUUAAUAAUAGCCUACCAAUAAACACCCCUCGACCCGCCCCUCCAAAUAUAGCUUCAGUGAGCCAUAUGGUAACUGGGCAGUAACCAAAUAGAUGGGAAAAGACAAUAAAAAGAUAAAUAAAGAAAAGAACAGGUUAACCGAAAGAGGAGUACCAAAAGGAUAGAAGAGAAAAAAGAAGAGAGAGUAGGAUUGGGAGUAGGAUUGGGAGGGGGUAUUAUAGUGAUUUUCCCAGAAUAGUAAUGAUGCCGAUACGAUCAGAUAGCUGGAUAGCCACGAGCCGGGAUGUUUUUAGCAAGUACCGCCAUGCCAGUGCGAAAAACUAUAAACCGUGAACAUCUCGUGGGAUCCUGAGGGUCCCGCUUCGGAAGGGGGAGUAAAAGUGUGCUAUGCAUCCUGUCAUCAAUAGAGGUGUUUCGGGGUACGCAGGGAACGAGCCCGUCCCCCACUCCCCUAAUCACCCACCCCACUAGCCACCCACGGGUUCCAAAUCUUUUCCAUUUUCUUCUUAGUGCCCCGGACCCUAGCUGUUAACUCGUCCAUUAUGUAUGUAUCCUUAAUCUUUUGUAUCACCACCUCCAUAGGGGGGGUCUCUCCCUGUAGCCACACUUGGGCCAUGGCCCUUCUGGCAGCCAGGGUCACCUUAUGUAGUAAAUUUUGUUCCGAUCUGGACCAGUUCUCCAGCGAUCUGGCCAGGAGGAAAACCCAGGGGUCUGGUUUGAUCACCCUAUCAAAGAUAUUUCCCAGUAAAUCCGCGACCCGUUUCCAGAAUUUUUGUGCCUCUGGACAGACCCACCACAUAUGUAUAUACGUCCCUUUCUGGCCACAUCCUCUCCAGCAUAAAUCUGUAUUAAUUUUAUUCAUCCGGUAAAGCUUCGCCGGGGUAGCGUACCACCGGAACAUAGUCUUAUAGGCUUGUUCUUGAAAUGUGACACAAAUAGACGAGGUCGCCGCUGCCUCCCAGAUCUCUUGCCACUCAACACCCUCCAGUUCCUCAUUCAGAUCCAUUUCCCAUUGAGACGUAUAAUGAAGCUCCCCCCAUUCAGAUGUGGUCGUACUGAGGUGCGCGUAUAAGUUAGUGAUGAGGCCUUUCGGAAAUUGUUCUUGAAUGCACAUUCUUUCAAAAAACGUGAGUGGAGUCAAGGCGCUAGUUUUAAUCUGUGGGUUAUGGGCGAAGUCCCUUAACUGGAGGUAUCGAAAAAAAUCGGAGGGACGUAGAGUAGCUCUGGACUUCAAAUCAUCGAAGGAUAUAAAAGCACCCCCCUCAUAAAGAUGACAUAGUCGUUGUACCCCUGUGCUCUCUAUGCCCUUAAAGUUUCUGGCUUCCAAUCCCGGAGGGAACGCUCGAUUCCUCAGAUAAGGGGCCAAUGGGGACAGAUGGGGGGAUAAACCGUAUUUGGUCGAUGUUGCGUCCCAGAUUUUCAAAGAGUUAGCGAUAGCUGGGCAAUCGACAUGUAUCAAUGGUCUGUGGUCCCUAGGGACCCACAUAAAGAAUUGAGGGACGUCGGAACCCAGAAGGGUGGCCUCCAGGUCGACCCACCGCCUCUCUUCCGGGGGAGCAUGCCAUAGUGCUAUUUGAGUUAAUUGGGACGCUAAAUAAUAGAAAUAGAGGUUUGGUAGACCUAAGCCCCCCCUCGCUUUUGACCUGUAAAGAACGUUACGCGAAACUCUAUGUUUCCUGUUCUGCCAAAUGAAUUUCCCAAUGGCCUGCUGGAGCGUCCCUAGAUCUGACUUGGACAGCCGGACCGGGAGAGCUUGAAAUAGAAACAGAAUCCUAGGGAGAAUAUUCAUUUUCACAGAGUGAAUCCUACCAAUCCAGGAGAUCGGCUUAUCUAUCCAUUUCUCCAUGUCUCCUAUCAAGGUGCGGAUCAUAGGAACAUAAUUUUGCUGAAAUAAUUGGGAAGGGUCCGCUGUCAGCCGAACCCCCAAAUACUUUAUAUGAUCGUUUGCUAUAUGUAUCCUAUAGGUGUCUCCGAUGUGGGUGAUAUCCGUGUCGCUCAUGCUUAUGGGAAGUGCGCUUGACUUAGUUAAGUUCACCCUAUAUCCGGCCAAUUCGCUAUAGGCCUCCAACACUGUCGCCAAUGCCUCCAUAGAAUUUAUCGGAUCCGUCAGGGUUAGCAAGACAUCGUCAGCAAAGCCAGACACCACAUAUCGCUGCUCCCGAAUCACGAUCCCCUUGAUGUCGGAGCUAUUUCUAAUUGUUUGUAGGAGGGGUUCCAAAGAGAGAGCGAACAAUAGAGGUGACAGCGGGCAGCCCUGCCUAGUCCCAUUCCCCAAAUUGAAAGGUUCCAUCUUCGCGCCCGAAAUCCGGACUCGAGCCCGAACGUCAGUGUACAUUGCUUGUAUCGUAGUUAUAAAGGGUUCAGGGAUACCAAACUGUCGGAGAGUCUCGAAAAGAUAAGGCCACUUUACCCUAUCGAAAGCUUUCUCCGCGUCGAGUGACAAUAUCAACGUCGGAAUCCCCCUAGUUGCCUGCCGCCAGAUAAGAUCAAUGUUGCGUCUAGUAUUUUCAAAUAGCUGCCUGCCAGGCACAAAGCCCACUUGGUCAGGGUGUAUCAAUCGUGUUAACAAGGGGUUCAGUCUGUGUGCCAAUAUUUUGGCAAGGAUUUUGGAGUCAUGGUUUAUCAAAGAAAUCGGGCGAAAGUUUUCGGGGACAGAAUCAUCCUUGCCGGGUUUCGGUAACAGCACAAUAUCCGCUAUUGACAUAUCCCUAUCUGGCGUUCCUCCCUCCAUUAGGUCGUUAAACCACUUUUCCAUGUGGGGUAUAAGUUCCUCUCAAAAUAUCUUAUAAUAGCUACCGUCGAAGCCAUCCGGGCCCGGAGCUUUGUUACCCUUUAAAGCGGAUAUUGCAGCAUCGAUCUCUUCGACCGUAAUCCUUUCUCCAAGGGCAGCUGAGUCUUCUCCCCGCAACAUAGGUAGCUUCAAUUGAGAUAAAAAUGCCUGCGAAUUGUCCGUGUCACUCCUCUGGGUGCUUGUAGCCCCGCUGGAAUGAUUAUAUAAUUUGGUAUAGUAAUCUGUAAAAACCUUAGCAAUAGCGGAAGGGUCUGUGCAAUACUUACCCGUAGCGUCUUUGAUUCUUGUAAUAUGAGAGUGACUCUGUCUCGGGCGAAGAGAUCUGGCCAACAAGGUAUCCAUUUUGUUGGAUUUUUCAUAGUAAGUCCUCUUGGACCAGACUAAAGCUCUAGCAGUCUCGUCGAGGAGCGUUUCGCAGACCGAAGCCCGCAAUUUCCUUACUUCCUGCAAUGUGGUAGGCGACGAGGCCGCCUUGUGUUUUUCUUCUGCUUUCCCCAGGGCUUCCAGGAGAGAUGUUAGUAAUUGUGUCUUACGUUUCUUCUUAUGCGUGGCUUCGCGGAUCAAUAUACCCCGGAUAACCGUCUUGUGUGCGGCCCACACCGUGGCAGGCCGGGGACCAGAGUCCGCAUUCCUUGUAAAGUACUCAGUCAGUUCCUUACGCGUGAUCUCCACCACGGCUGGAUCCUGAAGCAGAGAGGUGUUCAGUCUCCAGGUCCACGGAGAUGCCAUACUUAAUUUAUCCAGAGUCAUCGUGAUGUCAGCAUGGUCCGACCAAGUGAUCGAACCUACUGAAGUUUUCAACACCUUUGGGACCGUGUGGGGAUUCACCAGAAAUAAGUCUAUCCUCGAAUACGUAUCGUGAGGUGCUGAAUAAAAAGUGUAAUCACGGUCGUCUGGAUGAUGAGCUCUCCAGAUAUCGACCAGGCCUGUACGAUGCAUAAAAGUGCGUAGUAUUUUAUCUUGACUACCUCUCCCGUGGGACCGCGGCAACCCGUCGCCAGGACCUCUGUCAACCGCAGGACACGGGGUGGCGUUCAGGUCCCCCCCCACCACUGUCAUUCCGUGUGGCAGAGUGUUCACCAUCUGCGUUAUUCCGUCCCAAAAAGCAACAGAGGGGUCGUUUGGGGCAUAGACAUUGAGGAAAUGCACUGCAUGAGAGUGCAAUCUCCCCGAAACCAGCACGAAACGGCCACCCGGGUCGGCUACCACGUUUUCCACCCUCAGCGGGCAUCUAUGGUGUAUAACGAUAGCAACUCCAUUCCGUUUAUUUAAAGCCCUAGCUUCAUGGACUGUCCUGAAAGUGUGAUCCUUCAGGGCGAAUUUAGCCGAUGCGGAUAGGUGCGUCUCCUGCAAGAAGGCAAUAUCUGGGCUCAUGCGUUUGAGAUCCCUGAACAUGAGGCGGCGUUUACUCGGAGCGUUCAGGCCCUUAACAUUCAAUGAUAAUACUUUUAAGGGCAUAGUUUCCAAAAGGAGGGCAAGCCAAUGCCUCCUAGCAGCCCACUACUGGGCCAGUAAGGAGAUUGCACCACAUAUCUCAUCUCGGUACCAUGGGAGCCCGGCUCCGGACCAUCCAGACAGAGUUCAGCGGCAUAACUGCCCUCUCCUGUUCCCCCUCCCAAGGGAGAUAGUAAAGAUUUAGAACUGGACAACAAACAAGAAAUAGAAAAAAAGAAUAAGUUUAAGACAAAGAAGGACACACAGAACCUGUGUAUCUGGUGCCUGGUCUUACCUAUAGCCAGGCUUAAUUGGGGCACAUGUUCCAGCCCCUCCGGAAUCCCCAAAAGUCUCCAGAGAAGCGGGAGCAUACACCAACAGAGAAAAGCACCCAUAGGGUGCCCACACAGACUAAUUAUGAGACACAAUGAAAUACAAUAAGAUGUCAGAUAGCUGCAUUACCUACAUAUACACAACCAAAAAAUCCCCUCCCCCUAGGCAGAGAUCCAAACAACUUCCCCCCCCCGCGAGGAAGGCCCCCCCAAAAAGAGAGGCGGGGGCAAAACAAUAUGGCAUAAUCUGCGCAGUUAAAGAAUGAGCCCAAAAUCAAAAUCAAAAUCACCCGCUCCCCCGAAGAACACACGCCCCACUGUUCCCUUAACCCACAAUAAAUAACAUAAAAUGUGCCCGGGAGGCAGAAAGAGCCCGAAAGUAUGGAAAAUAUACAUAAAAGAACGCCUUAGCAUAAACAUAGCCCCGUGACCCCAAGACCUCCCCCCCAUAGCUGAACCCACAGGCUCCCGCCGAAUCCCAUCCCCUGUGCGUAAUAUCAAAUGUAAAUACAGUGUGGUACAUAAGCUAAUUGUAAAAGCAGGGUCAACCCUAUCAACCACCCGCCCUACAUAAUAAACACACAUCCCGCCACCCUCCGCCGCCCCAAAACUAUACAGGGAGGAAAGGUAUAACAGAAGACAAGGUUAAGCAAACAUUUCAAGUCAAAAUACGUCCCCCAACCACAAUUCGGGCCGGAGCGGGCGUCCCGAAUAACCGUGAGGGCCCUGCAAUGUUAGGACGGGUGUUGCCCGAAGAGAGGUACAAUCCCUGAGCCCGAUCAACCUCAUUAGACGAUUGCAGAGGGGGAAAAAAAUGAAGAACACAGGAUGGGAACAUUUAGGAACGAAGGGGAAAAAUCCCUAACCCGCCCCAUUCAGGAAGCAACCCAACCCAUGAACUGGCAACCAAACCCAAGCAAUCCCCAUCAAGGGAGCCAAGCCAGCAAAAAAUAAAAAUAAAAAAUAAAAUUAAAGAUAAAAAGGUGGGGGGGGGACAUGGGGACCCAUCUCAACCCACCCAAACAACACAGGCCCUCCCGUAGCACAGCACCAACCGGAGCCGUAGAGAUCCGACCUGCGAGACCGGGAGCAGAAUUCCUCUCCUCACUCACCCGCCUCGGACCAGACACGUGGAAGGGAUCCCAGCACCUCCGCCGUCGCCAUCGGAACCACGAAACCUUCAGGGGCCUGAAUCCCCAGCUCCCGCAGGAACGCCGCUGGAUCACCGUCGGGAAACAAGAUCUUAGUGCGGCCGUCUUGAAAGGCCAUCAGACGGAAAGGGUGACCCCAGGCAUAUUUGAUCGAAUGGUGUUGUAAUACCUCGGUCAUGGGGCGCCACUCUCGCCUUUUCUGUAGUGUGGCCGGGGUCAGAUCCUGGUAGAGGGCCAGCUCCACUCCUUUAUAGGUGAUAGGGCUAUUUCUGCCCCGUUUCAUCAGGGCCUCCUUAGUUUGAAAGCAGAGGAAUUUAUAAUUACAUCUCUCGGCCGCCGAUCAUCUGACCGCUUAGCCCGGAGAGCCCGAUGCGCCCGCUCAAUAUGCCAAAGCUGGUCCGGCAUGUCGGGGAGAAGCGGCCUAAGGAUGCCCGAAACGACCUCAAUCAGAGACCCUUCCCCCUCCUGCUCAGGCAAGCCCCGAAGACGAAUAUUGUUUCGGCGCGAUCUAUUUCCGAGGUCUUCAAUUGCCAGUUCAGCAGAGAUCAGUCGGGUCGUCAGAGUGUUAAUCUGUGCGGCAGCAGCGUUGUGGGCCACAACCGUGGACUCCACCCGCUGUUCCAAUGCAGCCGUCCUCGCCCCUACAGCCUGAAUCUCCGCUUUCACCUCGUCCGAGCUCCUGACUAUUUCAGUAGCGAGGUAGGAGCGGACCUCCGCUAAUUUGGCCAGUAUCUGGCCUGUAUCUGUUUCACGAGUACCUGUAGCCGCACUACUGCCUGGGCUUGAUGGCGAGCGCGGCGUUCCCUGACCUUCCCGUCCGCCAUCUUGGGUGCUGAGACGCACAGCGCGGGAGGCCGCGAACAGCUCCGAGACGGUGGCACCCGAUUCCAUCGCUUUUUUCCCCUGUUUCCUCGGGGCCCUCUUAUCCAUCAUGGGUCUCCUGCCUCUGCAGGUAUUUUUUGCAAUUAUAUCUCGGCUGUAGUUAGCAGUUGGCACCAUGGCUGCAGCAGAGCUUUACAUGGACACGUCCAUCUUGCUCGCCUGCAAACCACGCCCCCCCGCUUGACACUUCUUGACACAAGGCUGAGUGUAAGUGUUACUCCCUGCAGCCGUCACCAGUGAUGGCUGCAGGGAAUUGACUUUGUCUAUGGAGGAUUCCGCGGUCCCACAGGAUCCUCCGCAGACCUCAAUGCUGUACUCUAACUCAUGGGUGAUAGUAUCGCAGUGACGUCGGCUCCUGGUGCUGGAACGCUAUCUGUUGAAGAGGAGCAGAGCAUGAGAGAUGGCGGUGCCCGUGAGGGACAGGUUCAGGUUAGUAAUCUCACCUUUCCAUGUCCCCACCUGGCGAUGUCACCGUUAGGGGUCUUGCAAAUUUGGUAAAGUCCCCAGAAGGUGACAGUGCCUCUUUAAAUCCAAUAUUUAGCCUCCAUUAGCACUUCAGGACUUGCAGUUCACUCCUGCCCUUUAUCUUACACAUUUUGCUUUGACUAGUCACUCUGCCAUGAGCAAGAUGUGUGGCAGGUUGGCUGAAGCCCACCCUCAUGUUGGGCAAAUUUUUAUUUUGAGGCAUCUGUUUUAGGUGAUGAUUGCAUUUGGUUAAUCUGCUUUGCUUUUGAAGAUGACAGUAAGUUUGCUGAAAAUGUUACCUCAUCUCCUGUUUUCAAACAGCACAUGACGUUUAAUGGGUCAUAUCAUUCCUACAGUCAGAGAGGGGGGAGGAGUGAACAAUUUCACUGUUAGCAUUACAUUAGCAUUACAGAGACUGAUAAAGAUUGCUGUAGAAGUUUUAAAUACUUUUUUUUUUUUUAAAUACAUGAUUUAACUGUAUUCACUGUGUGUGGGCAUUAUGCUUAAAUCCAGACAUUAUCUUUCAUUCUUUUGCCAUUUCUAGUAAUCUGCAAUGCUAGUAAUGCCUUCAGGGUCCUUACUAAUACCCAUCAGCCAGGUAUUUUACCAUUUUUAUUUAUCUACUGCAUUUGAGAAUUUUUUUUUGUUUUUUAGUUUUUACGUUAUAUAAAUAUUUCAGACCCUGUGUGAAAUUUUGCAAGAUAAACUGAAAAAUGAAAACUAAACUAAAAAAUGUAAAUUGACAUGAUUUAAAUUUGUAUGUUUGUCUGUAAAGCAAUCUAUACAUAAAAUUGCAGCGUUAUGAUAUGGUCAUGUGCUGGCUAUGCUUUUCUUGCUCACGGCCAGUGCAAGGUAAUUCAACUACACGGGAAAAAAUACAUUUUGCCCCUCACCCCCUUUAAAAAAAAGAAGUGUUUGUCUUGUAAACCCCCUUUAGUAUUUUUUAUCCCCCCUUUACUAUGUCUUACAGAUUAGAAUUAUACUCGGAAGUGAAGAGGUUAAGGCCUUACAGAAUACUAGGUUAAUUCUGCUGAAAACAAUGUGUUUUUCUAUUUUACACAGAUCCUAAAAGAGUAGCCGGUAUAAUGGACUGAUACAUGUGGCACCCAGUUGCUAAGGACUGUGGAUCCCAUUCUUUUACAUCAUACUUGAAAGUCAAUCUGUCUGUUUCUGCUUUGUUGGUUUCUCUAUUUUCAAAGGAUUUAGUUAGUACCAUGUGAGGUUUUCCUUAAAGCUAUAAAAACAUAUUAACCCAGAGAGCUGAGUUAUGGUGUCAUUCUAGAGCACAUGUCCUUUCAUUGUCUGGAUAGCAAUGCCUCUUAGAUUACUGCAAACACCUUAGUGGUUUGAAGUGGUAAUGGUGCCUGGAGUUUGUAUGCGCUGCUUUUUGCUAUGAAAUGCUGAACAUACAGAGAUUAACCCCUCUGCUGGUGUCAGUCCAUCAAUGGAAGCCCAGCCCCCGUCCAUGUCGCCUAUGUCCUCCCCUCAGACCGCCCUCCGUUAUCUCCCUCUCUGGGAAAGUGACAUCAAUGGAGGAGGACUAGGCUGAGGGGGAACUUGACAUCAGCACUAGAACUGAGGUAAGUUUUAGCUUUAUUUUAUUUUAUAGUUUUUACCUUUGAGGGGAGCUGGACAGAUUUGGAGGAAUUACUCUAAACAAAAUCAGUGUUUUCAGUCUGUCACUUGCAUGUAUCUUUAUACACCUGAGCAGGCUGGAGUAAGACAAGUGUGUGCAAUUUGGGUAUUGCUGGAACUGUGUGACUAGAUAUACCAGUACUCAGUGCCAUAGGAUAUACCAGUACUCAGUGCCACAGGAUAUACCAGUACUCAGUGCCAUAGGAUACACCAGUACUCAGUGCCAUAGGACAUACCAGUACUCAGUGCCACAGGAUAUACCAGUACUCAGUGCCAUAGGAUAUACUAGUACUCAGUGCCACAGGAUAUACCAGUAGUCAGUGCCAUAGGAUAUACCAGUACGCAGUGCCACAGGAUAUACCAGUACUCAGUGCCAUAGGACAUACCAGUACUCAGUUCCAUAGGAUAUACCAGUACUCAGUGCCAUAGUAUAUACUAGUACUCAGUGCCACAGGAUAUACCAGUACUCAGUGCCAUAGGACAUACCAGUACUCAGUGCCACAGGAUAUACCAGUACUCAGUGCCAUAGGAUAUACUAGUACUCGGUGCCACAGGAUAUACCAGUACUCGGUGCCAUAGGAUAUACCAGUACGCAGUGCCACAGGAUAUACCAGUACUCGGUGCCAUAGGAUAUACCAGUACUCAGUGCCACAGGAUAUACCAGUACUCAGUGCCAUAGGAUAUACCAGUACUCAGUGCCAUAGGAUAUACCAGUACUCAGUGCCAUAGGAUAUACCAGUACUCAGUGCCAUAGUAUAUACUAGUACUCAGUGCCACAGGAUAUACCAGUACUCAGUGACAUAGGACAUACCAGUACUCAGUGCCACAGGAUAUACCAGUACUCAGUGCCAUAGUAUAUACUAGUACUCAGUGCCACAGGAUAUACCAGUACUCAGUGCCAUAGGAUAUACCAGUACUCAGUGCCAUAGUAUAUACUAGUACUCAGUGCCACAGGAUAUACCAGUACUCAGUGCCAUAGGAUAUACCAGUACUCAGUGCCACAGGAUAUACCAGUACUCAGCGUCAUAGGAUAUACAAGUACUCAGUGCCACAGGAUAUACCAGUACUCAGUGCCAUAUUAUAUACCAGUACUCAGUGCCAUAGGAUAUACCAGUACUCAGUGCCACAGGAUAUACCAGUACUCAGUGCGAUAGUAUAUACCAGUACUCAGUGCCAUAGGAUAUACCAGUACUCAGUACCACAGGAAGAACAUCGUGGUAUCACAUUGAAAUAAACAUUAGAAAACCCAUUUCUCUCUGGGCCUCAUCAGUUAGACGUAGUUGGUGGCCUACGGUAACUCCCAGGCUUGAGAAGAAAACAGAUGCAUCGAGUUCCACCAUAGCUGGAAUGCAAGAAGAUAUCUGUUUGUAUUGGAGCAAGACAUGCGAAGUUUAAAAGCAGCAGGUCCGUGGGAACUGACCAGCAUCCAGGAUUUUCUGUAGUUUGCUUCAUUAUAAUCUGUCCUGUGUUAUGCAACACAGCCGCGUCCAAAAACCUUCCUGAACCCAGGCUGGAACUUUGUGUAAACCCUCUGCUAUUAAUUGAAGUACAUUCUUGUUUGCUAAUUAUUGAUAGAAAAGCUGUUUUCUUUUACUGAUGAGAAUCUAACUGGAGAAAAAGCCUUCAUUUGGUCUAAUAUUUGUUGUAUAUUUCAAUGAUACUUUAUCUUUCAUAGGCUAAACUAAAAAAUAUUUGAUUUGUGAAAAAAUGAAAAAAUAGACAUCACAGAUUCCAAGGAAGUAAAUAAACAUAACAAGCCGGUUACAAAAAUGCUAAUUAAUAAUAAUAUCAUAUACUUGCUGAAUAAACAUUAUGAUGAAGUUGCUAAAGGCUGAUAUGACUGGUUGACAUCUAAAUGUUUCUUCCAAGUUAUACGUUCAUCUUCUCUACUUUCUUCGAGAGUCGAAAACGAACCUACUAAAAUUACGUUGAAGGAGCCUGUAAAUAUUUCGCAUUGGAAGGGUAAAAGCUCAGUUUUUAUCCUCAUGUGAACUUGUCUGUAUAAGGUUUUAUAUGUUGGCUUUUUUUUCUGCUAACUUUUGGCAAGAACGUGCAUGAGUAUUCUUGGCUCUAAUGUAAAGCUGACGUUGCAAUGCCAGGAUUUGUUAUUAUACUUUGUAUAUAGCUGUAGUGCUUUUGCACUGCAAAAUAUGUACUAUCUUAAAAACUGUUUUUAAAAAAUGUAUUCAAACUAUAUAAGAAAAUACACAGAGCAAGGUGGAUUGAAAGAUAGCAUGAGGAAGGGGAUUAUCUGCAUCCAUGACUGGUGUAUUGUUGAUGAUAGAGGGACAAUAACUGCUCUAUCGGUCCUAUAUGUGUUCUGCUCCGAAAAACUAAAAGUAAAAGCCAAAAGAUAAGUGUAAAACUAUCUGAAAUAGUGUACUCCAGCACACAAAACUUCUGUAAAAAAUAGAGAAUCCAUAUAGAGCGUGAUACCAGUCCUUAGAGUGGACAGGCUAAUUAAAGAAUACAGGAAAAAUCGUAAACGGAAACAAGCCAAGGUCAGGGUUACAGUGAUACAGAGAAACAAGAGACCUUGCCAAGGUCAGGGCAAUAGAUACUUGACACGGGACAUACUUGAAAACGAGAGAAAUCUCAAUGUAUCCAUCCUGGUAAAAUAUGUUAUAAAUAAAUAAAUAAUAUGCUCUGAGUCAGAUGAAACAAGUCAAAGGUCAAUACCGGAAGUCAUAAAAUAGAAACGGCACUAAUUGGAAACCACAAUGAAAUUCACAACAGGGCAAGGGUAUCAGGGCAAAACCACUAUUUAAACUAAUAAAAUAAUGAAGUUGCAGGUUGUGACACACAGAGGAUAGAAAUAGAAGUGAGGAUCCUGGCUUUCAUUAAUACUGUCCAAGGGGAGAGGAAGCACAGGAGCCUCCUGAUUGCCCGACAGCCCUCACAGGAACAUCAGAGUGCCUAAUAGGAAUUAUAAUAAAAACCUGGUCAAUGAAAAUGGACAAACAGCUUCAUGAAUUGCUUUACCGGUAGUUUUCGCCCAGGAGGUCUCAGACAAGUUUUAGCUUAGCUUUACUGUUAUUGUGGAAAUCUAAUACAAUAUCAGACUGGUUCCAUGUACAUGAGAAUAUCCAAAAUGCCGGGAAGGAUCCCUCUGGACAAAACAUACUGAUUGAUUAUUUUAGCCAUGCGUAGGCUUUGAUAGGGCUGGUGUUCCUUCAAAAGUGGAAUAAAAGAUGAUAUCUCAAGAAGGUUACACAAAUAUUUAGCUUGGAACAGACUGUGCUUGGUGACUAUUCAUGUGAGUCAUAAACAUCUCCACAUAUUCUUAGUUUUAACAAAGUAUCAGUCUGGAUCCAUGGAACCUUAUCUCAAUAGAUGUGACCAUUAUAACACUUAGGGUUAUUCACUUAACUAGGAAUUGUGGUCAUCUGAAAAGGAGGAGAGGUCAAUUUAGUGAAAAUAGCCAAAUGAGAAAAAUGGUCAAUAUGACCAACUGAGUUAUUCACACAACGGCUACUUUACCCUAACAUUUGCAAUUUAGAGAUCUCUUUGAUUUCCACAUUUCUUAUGUCCUGUUUUUAGAUAAUCAAUUUUCUGUUUCACCUGAUACUAAAGUUUAAAUCAACUUGGAAAAAAGAAUGAAAUAUUGAUUUUGAUUAGCAUUUAUGUUAUUGUUCUUGUGUCAUUACAGUGCAUAGCGCCUCGCUGAUAACCAAACGUUAUCUGUCAAGGUUACUAAAGGAGAAAUGCUUGUAACAAAAAUAGCCGUGUCUGCAAAUCCUGUUUAUUUGUGAAGACAUGACACACGUACAUACACAUACUUUCUACUGAAACAUAUGAUCUGCUUGUGUUGUAGCAAUUCUGCUGUUGUACCAACUGCUAAAUCAACAGAUUAAUUUUAAUCAAUCCACAAUGCGUUUGGGGAUUACAUUUUGAUACCUCUUGAGAAACAUUCUCCCAAAGAGGGAGAAGGGAGCAGGUUUGGAAGCUGCAGUCCAUCUUUCUUGACUAUACUCUAUAGCAGGGGUAGUCAACCUUGUAAUACCUACCACCCACUUUUGUAUCUUUGUUAAUGGUAAAAUUUCCUUACCGCCCACCAGUGCCGCAGUAACUAAUUAUAUAGCGCAAGUGCAAGUUAUUUAUUUUAGAAUGGAAUUUUUUUAAAUAAUAUGUACUAAAAUGUAUCUAUUUUUUUCCUUUUUAAAAAUUUUCUAUUCUACUUCUUUUAUAUGUGUGUCUGUGAGGUGAUACGUGUGUGAACAGUGCUGUGUGUGUGUGUGUGUGUGUGAAGGGUGCUGUGUGUGUGAGUAAUGCAGUGUGUGUGGGGUGCAGUGUGUGUCAGGGUGGCUAUGUGUGCAUCUGUGUGUGUGAGAUGCAGUGUGUGUGAGGAGCAGUGUGUGUGUGGAGCAGUGUGUGUGUGAGAGGUGAUGUGUGUGUUAGAGGUAAUGUGUAUGUGUGAAGGGUGGAGUGUGUGUGAGGGGUGGAGUGCGCGUGUGAGGGUGGAGUGUGUGUGAGUUGGCAGUGUGUGUGAGGGGGCAGUGUGUGUGUGUGAAGAGUACAGUGAGUGUCAGGGGGGCAAAGUGUGUGACGGGGCAGUGUGUGUGAGGGGGUAGUGCGUUUGAGGGGGCAGUGUAUGUGAGGGGGGCAGUCUGUGUGUGUGUGUUACGGGCGUAUUGUGUGUGAGGGGAAGGUGUGUGUAGGGUGCAUAGGGUCUAUGCUGUGUGUAGGUGGGUUAGAAUCUAUCUUAAUAUCUCCGCCUCUCUUCUUACCUUUUACCAGGGAGGGGAGACAUAAUGCUGCAAGCCCUGGUGGUCCAGUGGUGGCACAUUCACUUUAGUCUGCAGCUCCUCCAGCUGCUGGCUGACUCUCCUGUACUCCUGUGAGCACAGCUCUGUAUUUGUCAUGGUAACGUAGGAGGAACACAGGGCCUCCCAGGCCAUUCCCUCCCUCUCCUAGAAAUAAGUCCAAGUGGGGCAGUGAGGGAGAUCUUUGAUCUCCUCACCAGCCUGAAAGGGCUAACAGCAAGGCUGGCUCUACAUGGGCUGGCAGGGAAGAUGAAAGGAUCUCCCUUGCCUGCCUUGGCACAUGGCCAUCGAGGCCCACAAGGUGUUUUCUGCAGAACCCACCAACUGAAAUCCCAAACCACCCACUUGUGGGACCAGGUUGACUACCCCUGCUCUAUAGUAUAAGGGAUAUAUAGUCUCAAGUACAUUGUGAAUGAAUGAAUGGCCAGUGCUUCAGGUACAAUAGAUUUUGCUCCAGCUGUUCUGUCUUAGAGUCACAUGAAUGAGUCCCAGUAUCACUCUUCAUUACUUGAUAAAAUCAUUUGAUAACAUUAACACCAAUAUACACUAGAAAUAAACUAGUAGAAGCCGAUUUUUCUUUCUAUAAAUUAUUAUACAAUACAUUGAUAUUAUUGUGCAGGUGAAUACAUAUACAUAAGAGAUGCCAAUUUUAUAAAGUCCCGUUAGUGCUCAAUGAAUUACUUAAUAUAUACUGCAUUAUCUAUACCAGAGGUCAGCAACCUAGGGCACACGUGCCAUGCUUGACGUGUGAGGUGCCUUGGCACGGAAUGCAGGCUACCAGACACCAGACCCAAACAGACUGGCUUGGGAGAUCAUCAGAUGUUCCUCGUAGCUGGCUCAACAGGGGUGCUAGUGGGACCAAGAAUCACCCCCCACCCCCAAACCUGCCUGAUUGUGCAUCAAAUGUCUGCUAGUUUGGACCAAGCGAAAUGUGACUGUGAAGUUGUGUGUAUAUAGCAGUGUGUGUCUAGCAGUAUGUUUGUGUGAGAAAAGUGUGAUUUAGCAUGUGAGUAACAUUAUGUGAGGUGGUGUGUCAUUGUGUGUAUGCCUGGCUUUGUGAAUUGGAAUUAGUAUAUAUUGGGGCAGUGUGUGUGUCUGCCAGCCUGUAUUGGUGUCUGUGUGUAUAUCCCAUCAGUGAUGAAUGAUGCUAAAAAGCCCCCACACACAGAUUUACAGGCAGCCCUCCCACAAACAACACAACUGCCAGCCCACAUUGACACACACAACACAAAAAGAGCCCCUCCACCUAUAUACACAACAACACAAACAUUGUGACAUGCAGACCACACAUACUACAUACAACCCUCACAAGCAAGCAAUACCCCAUACACAGCCCACAUACAUAACACACAAUGCCACAAACUGCUCACUCACAUAUACACAAUAGCACAAACAGCCCACAUAUACGCACACAUAACACAAGCAGGAUAAUGUAAUAACCAUACAUAAACAGAAUAUAUCAAUAUACACACAUCAAUUCCAAAUUAAAAUAGGACGGGCACGCCACAGGAUUUCAGACUUGUUUUAGCACAGAUAACCCUAAUCUAGUUACCAUUUAGUAUGCAGACAAUGUCACAUCAGGUUUUGUGUGUGAUUUAUUUUAUGUAUAUACAAUAUAUAUUAUGUAUUUAACACUGUGUAUAUGUAUAUAAAUUACAUUCUCCCUGGUGAGUGACACUGAAGGCAGCAAGCCCAUACAUUGUUUUUCUAUGACAUUUACAAUAUUUAAUAUUGCUUUAUGAAUGUUUGCCAUGACCUAUCUGCUAUGCUGGAAUCCAGAAUGGCUGUUGGAAUCUUGAUGGCUUUGUCAUUGAAGAAUGUAUCCUCCAGCAUUACUUUAUAAUAUUCACAUUGGCCUGGCUGCAUCAAUGUUAUGUAUAAAUGCAAUGUUGCAAUGAAUGCUACAAAGGUAGGAGCGAGUAACAAUCUCACUGGUUGAUCCUACAAGCUUAGUCAUGGAUUUCACUUGUUUGGAAAUAGUGAUUUGAUUACCCAUUUACAACCUGGAGUUUAACAUCUGAGAUUAAACUGACCUUUUUUGGCUUGGACUUUCAUUGUGUAUGAACCAAUCUGGGACUUUCAUUGUGCAUGGACCAAUCUGGGACUUUCCUUAUGCAUGGACCAAUCUGGUGGGACAUGUUAUUGUGUAUGGACCAAUCUGGGGCUUUCAUUGUGCAUGGACCAAUCUGGCGGGACAUGUUAUUGUGUAUGGACCAAUCUGGGACUUUCCUUGUGCAUGGACCAAUCUGGUGGGACAUGUUAUUGUGUAUGGACCAAUCUGGGACUUUCCUUGUGCAUGAACCAAUCUGAGACUUUCCUUGUGCAUGGACCAAUCUGGGACUUUCAUUGUGCAUGGACCAAUCUGGGGCUUUCAUUGUGCAUGGACCAAUCUGAGACUUUCCUUGUGCAUGGACCAAUCUGAGACUUUCAUUGUGCAUGGACCAAUCUGGUGGGACAUGUUAUCGUGUAUGGACCAAUCUGAGACUUUCCUUGUGCAUGGACCAAUCUGGUGGGACAUGUUAUUGUGCAUGGACCAAUCUUGGGCUUUCAUUGUGCAUGGACCAAUCUGGGACUUUCCUUGUGCAUGGACCAAUCUGAGACUUUCAUUGUGCAUGGACCAAUCUGGAACUUUUAUUGUGUAUGGACCAAUCUGGGAUUUUCAUUUUGCAUGGACCAAUCUGGGAUUUUCAUUGUGCAUGGAUCCCAUGAAAUGAGUGGUGUUUUCUGUGAUGCAGAGGCCUCUCUGCCACUGAGAUUGAUUUGAAUUUUUCUACACUUUAUUAAAUAUAAGAAAUACAUCUUGAAAUAUAAAACCAGUGAGGUCUUUGGCAUAAGAUGUAAAUAAAAGAGACUCAAACUUGGACUGAAAUCAACAAUCCUGCAAUAACAUGCAAUCAGAAUAUUUAGACAGUUCAGAAUACAUAAAAUGAUUGCAAACAUCAUUGUGACAUUCAACUCAAAUUCUCCUAUUUAACAAAUCGUCCUGCUUCUCACAGAAUAAAACUAUUUGGUUUCAGAACUUCACAGAACUUCACUACAACCAUCAGUUAAAUGUUCUAUUUAUUGUUAUAGGAGUGGAACCAACAUACCUCUGCAAGCAAACACAACUCACUGAAGUGCCAUGUGAAAUGUCUUAGUUUUGUGUAUUUUUAUGAACUAUCUGCUCUUUUUUCCAUUUUACUGUUCGAUAUGAGGCUCAGAUCGAAGAAACAAGCUACAAAAAGACCAGCUGACCAGGACAGGUAUUAGUGUCUUCUUUAGGAGUCCUUCUCUCAAACAUUUGACCAAAAUGGCUUAUCUUUCCAAGACCCACUCAACUGUCCUUAUAACCGUGAGGUCACGAUGCCUGCCACAAAAACUGGAAACAAGUCUUUAUGAUGUAUGAUUGAUCAGUACGUUAGGCCUCUCUGUAUGAAGGGGUGAAAAUCAAUGGUAGAUUAAAGACUGCCGAAGAGAGUGUUAGAAUAUUAGAACUUAAGAUGGACGCAAAAUACCGUUGAAGAAUCAGUCAAGCGGCUUUAAAUAUCACAAAUAAACAAUUAAAUGUUCAGCUUGUGGAUGUAUUCUUCUCUCUGUGUUCUUCUCUUUCUCCACCUCUCACUAAAAUUCUCAAUCUCUCUCUCUCCUCUUGUAUAUUUCCAUUGCCCUUCAAACAUGCAACUGUAACCCCAAUUCUAAAGAAGCCCAAUCUUGACCCUAACUCCCCAUCCAACUAUCGUUCUAUCUCGCUACUGCCUUUUGCAUCCAAGAUCCUUGAAAAAAUUGUGUAUGCAAAAUUGACAGACAUCCUCAAGUCCAACUCUCUGCUAGACCCGCUUCAGUCUGGUUUCCGCGCUAAGCACUCUGUGGAAACGGCACUGACCAAAGUAUCCAAUGAUCUACUCGCUGCAAAAUAUCGUGGUCACUACUCUAUCCUAAUUCUCCUUGACUUGUCUGCGGCUUUUGACACUGUUGAUCAUCAACAGCUUCUUCUCAUCCUCUGCAAUAUCGGUCUACAAGAUAUUGCUCUCUCCUGGUGCUCCUCCUACCUCUCCCAGCGCUCUUUCAGUGUUUCUUUCUCUGGCUCUGCUUCUUCUCCCCAACUCCUCUCUGUUGGUGUCCCCCAAGGUACAGUCCUUGGUCCCUACUGUUCUCCAUCUAUACUGCCUCCCUUGGUAAACUCAUUAGCUCCUUUGGUUUCCAAUAUCAUUUCUAUGCAGAUGACACGCAAAUCUACCUGUCCUCUCAUGAUCUCUCACCGUCCCUCUUGACUAGUGUCUCUGACUGCCUCUCUACUGUUUCUAACUGGAUGGCUGCCCACUUCCUUAAACUAAACUUGACCAAAACUGAAAUUCUGGUCUUUCCUCCCUCAAGUGUUGUUACUCCUGUGUCUGUCUCCCUCCAAGUCAACGGUGCUACCAUCAGCUCCACCACGCAGGCUCGCUGCCUAGGUGUUCUCUUUGACUCCGACCUCUCCUUCAAGCCUCAUGUUCAAUCUAUCGCCAAAUCCUGUCAUUUCCAUCUCUAAAACAUUUUGCGCAUCCGCCCCUACUUAACGCCAGAUGCGACUAAGGUGUUGGUCCAUUCCACUGUCCUUUCUUGCCUUGACUACUUUAAUCCACUUCUCAGUGGUCUUACGUGCUCCCAACUUGCGCCGUUACAGUCCAUAAUGAAUGCGGCGGCGAGGCUCAUCUUCCUGUCCGCCCGCACCUCCCAUGCCUCACCCUUCUGUCAGUCCCUACAUUGGCUUCCUAAAAAUAUAGAGCUCAAUUUAAAAUUCUGGUUCUUGCUUUCAAAUCUCUACAUAAUGCUGCUCCCACCUAUCUAUCCUCCCUUAUGCACAAGUAUGUCCCGUCUAGGCCCUUACAAUCUGCUGAAGACUUACGUCUAUCUUCUGUCCGUACUCCCACCUCUGAUGCUCGUCUUCAAGAUUUCUCGAGGGCUGCACCGUUCCUGUGGAACUCGCUUCCCUCCUCCGUUAGAUGCUCACCCAGUCUCCACUCCUUCAAAAAAUCAUUAAAAACCAAGUUCUUCGUAAAAGUAUAUCAAUUAAACUGUUUUAAUAGCUCCCGACUGAUUCCUCUUCUACAACUGUCACUAGUCUAAUACUAUCCUUACCUUUUUGUGUCAUUUUACCCCACUCCCUCUAGCAUGUAAGCUCAUUGAGCAGGACCCUCAACCCCUCUGUUCCUGUGUCCAACUUGUCUGGUUACAACUACAUGUCUGUUCGUCCACCCAUUGUAAAGCGCUGCGGAAUUUGACGGCGCUCUAUAAAUAUCAUAAUAAUUAUAAUAAUAAUAUUAAUAAGAUAAACAUUGAUGGAAGGAUAUCUAUGUUCAUGGAUUACCAGAAAUUGAUAUGGCCCAAAAAUGUCACAUUAAUUUAGGAGGCUGUUGGCUACUAUUUUGCCAUGCAUGCAGGUUAACUUAAUACAAUCUGACAACGUGUUCAAAUUGCCAAGCUAUGCCCCGGAGGUUGUUAAUAGAGAUUUUAUGGUAAAACUUCUAGAUGUCCUUGUUGUGACAAUAGGUUAAACACCUAACCAGGAAUAACUUACUUGUCAAUUAGUGUGAAAAGUAGCGCUUCAAAAACAAUAUGGUAAGUAGCUGCUCUACAACACCCAUGAGGGGAUACCUUUUACUUCACCUUAAAUGUAUAGCAAGAAAUUAUUAUAAGGAAAAUACUUUAUAAUCGGUGGGUGAAGCGCUAAUUGGUCAAGAGGCAAUUAUGUGCUUACCCCUUACUGAGAAGUUAUGUGAGAUCUAGAUGAGGGGUAAUAUGAACAGAGAAAAAAAGAACAAAACAGAUCUAGUGCAGAUGGUGUUUGAAAAAUAGCAAACACAAAGUAGAAUAGGUAGACACACUCACAAUUUUCAGAGCCUGAGGAUAAGGCUCUAUAACAACGCUUUUUAUGGGCAGCACCCCACCUUCUUGGAUAGAUGGAAAAUCUCAAAAUAAACAAGACAAGGGAUUAUGGUUCAGUAUCUGUAGAUGUAUCAUUGACAAUAACCACUUUUAGAAAUGGACUCUCACCUUAUUGAGAGCCCAUAUGUGCCUUGGCUCUCAGGUGUAAAAACCUGGUGUCAAAUUUUGGGGUGACACUCCCCUGUCUGGAACCUGGAACAGGACUGACUACUGAAUGGGGUUCCAAUUCAUUAUUUAUUCAGCAUCAAUAUUAAAACAAAAAAAACAAAAACUAUGCAUACAUUUAAAAACAAGUUAAAAUGAACUUAUCGGUAUGUAGUGCAGUCCUUAAAUGCCAAUACACGUUUCGCUGGGUAAGCUUCUUCAGUUGGCUACGUCCUCCAAUCAGUGAGCUUUAUGGGCAAGAUGCCCUUCCUGCAAUAUGAUGGUUUUUCCUUGUUCCGCCGGAAGUGAAGUAAAUUUUCAGUGGUUUUUGAUGAUGUGUAUCUUCGGCUAAGUCUACUGGAAGUGAUGCAACGGAAUUUGCGGUGCGUCAUUUCCAGUUUUGUCAGCAAGUAUAUCAACUGUUUUCAUAGUCCCCAUAUGUAUUUUCCGUCAGGAAAGUUGUAAAUGUCCAUUUUGAGAGAGGGAAAGGAAAGGGAAAAAAGAAGAGUAUCAGAUACUAGUUAAAAGUGCUAUCUUGGGAGUCAUUUAUAACCGCUAUGGACUCUCAGUGCCUUACCUCCAAGAAAACUACUCCCAAGCUUGCUCCAGGACCCCGCAAAUCUCAGGUACCCAGAGAAAAAGAUGACUCCAUCUUGUUGCAGCGUGAACCUACCUUCAGCAACCGGCCUUGUCACCCUGAAUGUACCCAAGUAAGCCUUGAAAUUCCAGUGGACAGGGAGGAACCCAUGGAGAUCGAAUUUACCUGAACCAGGUUGCCUCCUAAGGAAAGAGACCGUAGGAGAGUCCAUGGCCUGGGUUUGUACUGUGAAGAAAAAGGGCAUUUCAUCUCUCUCCACCCAACUCGUCCACCUAGGCCAAAAACUCUUCUUAUGGGUAACCUAUGAUCUCAUCCUGUCAUCCUGGUAACACAGCCUGGAAACUGCCAAGGUUGCUGCCAGACCUGUCCACGUUCCAGGACACAAAAGGGCACCCAGACUAUGGCAAUCUACGAAACCAGUACCCCUGAGAAAGUCCCUACUCCUGCUCCAGAAACAUCUGUACCUCUUCCCGAAGAAACACCUGUUCAAGCAAGCACCAUCAUCACUUCCUGCCUUGUCAACAAUGUUCUUUCACCUGACUGCACAUACGCUUCUAAUGGCACUGUUGUAUGUAAACAGGAUCUUGAGAUGUUCGAGAAAGCAUUGAAAGCUGCUAGAACUGCUUAAGCUCUCCUCUUUGGGUGCUCCAAAAAUCUGGAAGAAGGCCAGACGUAUGGCAUGGAUGCCUAUGGGAGAACGUACCUCUUGCCAGAGCGUUCUUAAAGGUUCUGACCAUGACAUCCAGACAUGGUCACCCCAGAUGUGCCCAACAGGGGAUUUGAACCUGGGUAUUCUACGGUCAUGGGCCUCCUGUUUCUCCUCUGAGCCACUGUUCAGCUCAUGUAUAAGCCUGAAGUCCGAUCCUGCCUUGUCUCCUGCACUAGGGGGUUGGACUUUUCCUGUGACUGCUCCAGUCUCUCACUCCACCUGAAGCAGAUGCCUAAUCAGCCAGGUAUAAAACACUGCCUCUCUCUGAGGACAGUGUCAGUUCAUUGACGCUGGUUCCUGUGUUGGUGAGCCAGUGUUCUCCAGUCGGCUCCUGACCUUGGCUUUUUCUUAUCGUGUGUCCUGACCUCAGGCAUCCUCUGACUUUUGGCUUACCCGUGACGAUUCUCCUUCCUGUGUCCUUGCCUGUACUCCAACUUGGAGCAAUAUCCUGCACAGCCCCCGUGCACAGACUCACAGGCCAUGUGAAUUCUUACCCGACCACCUUGGCCUGUGUUUAUUUGCAAAGGUGAGCAUAUAUCUCUGCAUACUGGACUCCACAUCAGGUAAGACCCUGACACAACCACUGAGCCCAAUUUCAUGAACAAUGGUAAUGCAAUUUCUUUUUUUUAAAAAAGGAACUUAACAAAGGUAAUGAUGUUAAGAAUCAUAAUUUCUGUAAGAGCUAUUCAGGUUAUAACAUUUUAAUUGAUCAUUAGGUUGCUAUGCAGUCUAAAUUAUUUGAUUACAGAACUGGAUCCAAAUUUAACCCCUUAAGGACACAUGACAUGUGUGACAUGUCAUGAUUCCCUUUUAUUCCAGAAGUUUGGUCCUUAAGGGGUUAAUCUACUCCACAUCUAUAAGAGGAGCAAACAAUGUAUUUUAUGAGGAUAAACAUAAGAUUCCGUGGCAUUUAUUCCGUAUUUAUAUUUGACAACCCACUAAAAAUAGCUUAGGAUCUUUAGGUGAGGAUUUUAGGGAUAAUGUCAAAUUUGGGUAAAUAUAACCACAAAUCCAAUCAAAAGUGUAAACAUAACAUCAGGUUAUUUGUUUGUGAUCUUGUAAUAAGCAGAGAAACAGAUGAUUCAUGGCUUGAUAACAGCAGAUUGUGCUGGCUUGCUGUGGGCAGGCGUACUGCACAGAGCCAAGGAAGAGAAGAUUUCUGUUGGUAAUUGUUCUAAUCAGCUGUCUGGUGGAGAGAUACUGUGUUCUUUGGCAAAUCAAUAUAUAUUUCUCAUUUAAUUUAAUACAAACAGUACUGGACUGGUACUGUCCAUUGUGAUAUUAACCACUGGAGUACUAGGAUUGGUUCGACACAUUGCAAAGCCAGACGUUGAGCAUGCAAUGGAAGCUGAAAUGGUUAAACAAAGUUCUGCUACAUUUUACAGCAAUCCCAUCCUCCACACCCCAAUAAAAAAAUAAAAUAAAACAAGUCUGUCUUUGAUAGGUAGUUUUUCAGCAUAGGAGUGAUAGUUCAUGGAAAACCCAGCGUCCUUGUCAGUGUGUGUAAAAAAAACAUAUAAAUAUUUAUGUGAGCAAGUGUAUUUAGUUAUUUGUUAUUUUUAGGAAAACCUUGAUUCUUGAAAAUGAAAGAAAUCUUACUCAAUUCCUCCAUUGUAUAAUUAUUGUGUUUUAUUUUUAGUAACUCGCAGAAUGCAUCAACAGAAACUUUGAGUCAUUUGUCCAAUGUUAGUUUGAAAAAGCAUGACGUUUGUUUGACCCUAAAGCACAAACACACGCUACGUGUGUGUGUGUGUGUGUGUGUGUGUAUAUAUAUGUAUGUAUGUAUGUAUGUAUGUAUGUAUGUACACACAUGCAUACAUACACUGGUGUGCUGUGUAUGAGGGUGCUGUGUAUGUGUGUGUUUGUGAUGGGUGCUGUGUGUGUUUGUGAUGGGUGUGAGAGUGCUGUUAGUGUGUGUGUGUGUGUGUGUGUAAGUAAGGGUGCUGUUGGUAUGUGUAUGUGUAACAUCCCCCUCCCUUACCUUUUGCUGCUGCCAUCCCUGGUGGUCCAGUGGAAAGUGAACUCUAGCCUGUGGGUUAUAUAGCAGCAUCUAUAGAUAAAAAGUCCAACGCGUUUUGUCUGGCAAAAGGGGACUUCCUCAGGGAUAUUUAAUCUAUAGAUGCUGCUAUAUUUAUUUCAGUUUCUUUUAUAUUGUUAUAAGUAGUGCAUUCAUUUAUUUUAUCUGCUCCAUUGGAUCUACCUCUACGUCGCCUGGGAGUUCCAUAUUAUAUGGAGAUAUGCCUGAUACAUUUCUUCACUUGUAAGUGAGACCAAUAAAGAUAUGUUGUAAUUUUAUUACAUACUUCACUAUAUUUGAUUAUUUUAUUUUGCAUAUAUUCCACGGAGGAUCUGUUUCAUCAUACUACUACCCCUGGGAGGGUGAGAAGCCUGAGUUCAUGUUUGUUUGUGAGUGCACCUAUUUGCAUUAAAAUAUCACUCACUUAUUUAUACUGUAUUACGCUAUGCUAGUUUUAAAAAAAAAUAAUUUUUUAUACAGAUUUCAUUUAUGAUUUACGACUUACAAUUCAGGUUAUUUGUUAAUUUUCUAUAUUACCAAGUAUUGGGAGGUGUUUCCAUUUUGUCUUUUUAAUUAUCUGUGUUUUAGGUGUUAGUGAAGUACACCUGGGACUUCUCCCUAAUAUUUGGUUUUUCAUUCCCACUUCGUAUAGUGUGUAUACUCCAUCGUCUGUUUGUAUUAUACAUGUAGUUGCACUGGUGACUAUAGUGUCCCUUUAGCAUGCUUACGUUUUGUAUGUCUCCUCAAUGAAAUAUCUCCACAGACAGUAUUUUUAAUGGAAAGGCUGACUUUUGGAGACUUUUUUUCCCCCUCAAUUUAGCUUUGGUGAACCUAAAAUAAGAGCAAGUACCCUGGUGCAAAUUAAACUUUAAGGAAAUUGCUUUGUUGUCCAAUCCCAUUGUGAUAAAUUAUGAACCCGUCUCUUUGGGUCCUGGUCGUGUGGCCAAUGUGGGAAUUUGCCCGGCUAUCUUUUGGUUAAGACUGACCCUCUAUCCUCCAGACAUCAAGCAUAGGGGCAUAAUUGCGAUUACAGCUUGUCACAGCAUUGGACAUCUGAAAAAAAGAAGGGGUACUUGUUCGUUCCUCCACCACAUCUUUUUGGGUAAAAUUGCAAAAAGACAAAAUGUGUGAAGAAGGGAAUAGAUCAACUGGUGGAGUAAAGGUAAAACAAGCUAGGGAAGUGCUAAAAAAAUAACACUUUGGAAAAAUGUUCUCUAGGGAGAAACACAUUUUCAUAAGAGUUUCCGAGAGUUCAGCAGAGUUUUAAACUGCUCCCAACUCUUUCUGUGCACAAAAGAAUUGUUCGUUCUCCAUAGUCACAAGAGUACCUUUCAUUCCUCUCAUCGAAUCUCUGGCCUCUUAUCCACUUAUCUCACUAAAUUGUCAGAUUAACUCACUUAAUGAACAACAUCAUUAGCGGUUUCAGCAUACUCCUUAUUAAUUGCUUCUAUUACCGAUGCACUUGUCAGAUCUUAUUUUCCCUUUUUUUGAUCUCCAUUGCGAUGGGAUUUCCUUGAUGUCAGGAAGUGUUUAAUGCCCCUAAAUGUCUCUUGCUGUACUUUUACUUUUUAGUUGUCUUCACCCGUUCGGCGAGCAAUUGAAAUGAUGUAAGGAAAGUAUUUCCAUGUUAAUUCAACUAGCACGUAACCUUUUGAAGCACAGCUAUAAUAAUGUCAUAUCACUGCGUAACAACAUUUAACUUUCCAUUUGUGAGCAGAGACAGCACAGUCUAUUUUACAUUUAAUGAGAGCUGUGUUAAAUAGAAAUAUAAGCCAACAUAGAAGGAAACAAUCUGGAAAUUAGUUAUUAGGGAUCAUUUGGCACUUUAAUAACUCCCGCUUCCAACAAGCAUGUAGUGACACUGUGUGUCAUUCCUGUGUUACUUCUGAUGCCCACAGCUCUCAGUGUACUGACUGCGAGCAUCAUUCCAUUGUCAAGACGAGGGCCGCUCCUAUUGCGACUCCAUUUCACCAUCCCGAUGACUGUGUUAUUUUAUGACAUCACUGUCACCUCUGCACGUUAUGAUGUCAUUAUUAAAACAGGCCAAUAGUAUACAGCCUAGGGCUACAGUAACCACUCCUCUUUCGUGAUCUCUGUUACUUGAGAGUGCUUUUUGACUUGUGGUAUUUGAUUUGGUUUUUGACUCGGCUCUGAUAUCUGACUACUUACCUUUGGAAUCCCUGACCUUAAUAAAAGUUAUAUCUAAUCCUUAGCCCGUCCUUGAUUAGUCUUGUCUGCUUGCAGGUCAUCAUUGUGAUCCUAGUCUGUUUUGGAUCGCAGUGAUGACGUGGACCUAUCUGAACAUAGGUAAGCGUAUUUAAGGCUUGUUUUAGCCCCCAUUCAUUGCCCUGUCCUGGUUUCUGUAGAGCUCCAAGUGAUUCUCUUGCGAUUUCCUGUGUUUGACCCCGGCUUCGUAUUUGACUUGUGAUUUCUGGUAUCCUGAUCCCGGCUUCGUAUUUGACUCGUGAUUUCUGGUAUCCUGACCUCGGCUUCGUAUUUGACUUGUGAUUUCUGGUAUCCUGACCUCGGCUUCGUAUUUGACUUGUGAUUUCUGGUAUCCUGACCUCAGCUUCGUAUUUGACUCGUGAUUUCUGGUAUCCUGACCCUGGCUUCGUAUUUGACUUGUGAUUUCUGGUAUCCUGACCCCGGCUUUGUCUUGACUCUGAGUAUUCCUGUUGUUUUUAUUCUUGACCGACCAUUCUAAUGCUCAGUAAUACGUCUUUCGGAUCCACCUUUUGUGGUUUCCUUUCUGUGUAUCGGGUUACGACUCCCGUGACAGCUUUUGCAUGAGCAGGCUAGGAGUUCAUCUGUGGUUUUGGAUAAAUGCGUGCAUUUGACUGGUAAAGUGUAUUAUUUAGCUCUUUUUUGUUGUUGUUUAAUAAAGUUCUUUAUAGUGUGAAUUUAAAUGCCAGAGGAAUCAUAAUUUAAAAAAAAUGUGUGUGUGUGUGUGUGUAUGUAUGUAUGUGUGUAUAUAUAUAUAUAUAUAUAUAUAUAUAUAUAUAUAUAUAUAUAUAUAUAUAUAUAUAUAUAUAUAUAUAUAUAUAUAUAUAUAUAUAUAUAUAUAUAUAUAUAUAUAUAUAUAUAUAUAUGUGUAUAUAUGUGUAAAAGUGAUUAUUUGAAUAUCUGUUAUUUAAUUUAUUUUUUUAAACAGACGUUUUAUUAAUUUACAGGGUUAUUUUUGAAAGUAAGAACUGUUGCAAAUUCAGAGUGAAGUCACAAUGAAUUUCAAAUUGAAUGCCAAAAAAGGCCUAUUGGGAAAUAUUUUAUUUGGGUCACAUCAAAUAUCAAUGACAGAAGACAAUAGUACAGGUUACCAACACAUUUUGAAAUAAACAGAGACUGGUUUACAAAGCUUUGACGAGUUAAUCAGCUUCUAAAGUCUGUAUCGUAUGUUUCAUCACAGUGUUUAUAUUGUAUCACAAGCACGAAAUAGAUGUCUUAACAUUAUUGGAAAACCAAAGAAUGGUUUAACUUGGGUUUGAUUAAUGAUGUCACAAAAUAGCCACAGUUAUCAUUCUUGAAUAAAUUAUUUAAUUCUGACCCUUUUGUUAGCUAGACAUAUUUUAAGUAUUUUAGUUCUUCAAAGUAUGCACUAUUUGCCGUUAUCUAAAUACAAAUCUAAUAUAGUUCACAAGUUUAAGUUGAGUUACAGUUUGCUCAACCUUUUAAUUGUUGCCUCUUCUUAAUAAUAAACAUAGCCUGUAUUUUCUUUAAUAUCAUAAUUCUACUAAUUAACGUUCUUUUCUAUUUUUCGCUACAGCUCUAACUGUACGAUUUAUUACAAAACGAUUCAUUGGGGAUUAUGAUCCAACUCUUGGUAAGUAAUACAUUUUAUGAUAAUUUAUCAAAUUGAAUAAUUUACACUGUCUCUCUAGUCAUUCGGUAAUAAAUAAACCUCACAACAGGAGUAAAAUUAUACAUAAUCUGCAUUCAGUUCCGUUUCAAGGGAUCUAAAAAGAGAAACAAAGAAACAUUAAAGUAGCAGAUCGUGGACUAUCUAUUUAUGUUUAAUUGUAAUGUAGUACAAGAGAGCACUUCUCAGACCAUACCUUGGUGUAAACAACAGUGAGGCCCUUAAAGGAACACUUUAAGUAAAAAAAAAAAAAAAAGUUUAAGAAAAUGCCAGUUUCAAUUGAAAGCCUUAUAUCUUUAGAUAAGCUAUUAAAUGAUUUAAUAUUUUUGGAUAAACUUUUGAAAUGUUUUUUUUUUUUUUUUUGUUCAAAAUUUUACAUUUCUUACAAACGUGAUAAAAUGUAAAUAAAUAAAAAAAAAUAAUAAAAUAUAUAUAUAUUAAAAAAUAUGAAUAUUUAAAACUAUAUUUUUAGAAAAGUGAAAUCAUUGUAAAAGUUUAUCCAAAAAUAUUAAAUUAUUUGAAAACUAUAUCUAAAAAUAUGAAAUUGCAAACCGCCAGGGUCGCAUGUUAAGAGGUCCAUCGGCUGGCCCAUGCUGUCAGGGCCCGGUCAGCGCUGGGCGCUUUAACAGUGCGACCAGGCCCCCUGUGAUGACAUCACUGCUGGGAGGAAGUGACUAACCAGUCACUCAGUCACUCCUCCCAGCAUACAGAGAGCCGCGCGGGAGAAAGCAGGAAGGAGGGAGUCAGUGUGAACUCUGACUCCCAUCAGGCUGAGCCACCACUGGACCCCUGGGAAAUUCACAAAAGGUAGGAAACAUUUUGUGUGUGUGUGUCUGUCUCACGGUCAGGGGGGAGAGGGUCAGGGUGAGGGGGAGACGAGGGAAGGGGGGCCCAUGGAUCAGUUUUGCACCGGGCCCCAUGGAUUUUGUGUACGCCACUGAAAGUGGCUGACACAUUUCGAUAGGAAACACACAAGUGAACCGAAGCAAGCCCUUAUAACACACUUUUUAACGAGCUGACGUUUCACCCUUAUGAUAAAGCUUGUUGAAUUGGGGUUGGUGCAGACUGCACACAGUAACUUCAUAUAUUUCAGAAUACCAUGUUGCCAUGCCAUGUAAAUUUAAAACAAUGGCUUGUUCUUACUAAGCCUACAUUUCUUCAAAGCCUACAGUAUACCAUUCACAUUCACCCAUUGUCCAUUCAGUCUAAACUCAAGCCAUGGGUUAAAAUUAUAUAUUUUUUUAUUAUUUAAUGUUAUUUUUGUCUCAGAAAUGUAUUUUGCACAACAUAUUCAGCAUUUGUAGUAUAAUGUUACCUUUUUCAACAGUAGGUUCUAGGCUUCCAUGCCAACAGCAUUAAUAUAGGGCUACUAAUCCAGAACCCAUCUACCAUUUGAGUGCAAUGGUAGCACGUUUGUGUUCUUGCCAUUCAGCUAUGUAAAUUAUGAUACACUCACUGAGUCAGACUCAAUAUUGACUGACCGAGGCACAGGUUUAAUUUAAAUACUUACUAAAACACACAAAGACAGGAAAAUUAAUCAAAUUUAAUAUCUCUUAAAAUCUGGGUUUGUUGUCCUUUAAAAUAACAGCAUGUAUUACCAAGGCAACGGGUUUCUUUACCAUGUCUCUGGACAUUUGGUCAUUGCAUGCAGUCAUUUUCCACUUGAAUUGUGCAAGCUACUUCUUGCCAGUUUAAAUUAUUGUGCAAUCAGUUGAUUUCUCUACGAGAAGCCUCUGUAACAUAGCCCCCCUUUCAAACAAAUCUCAUGUUAUUAAAGUAUUUAUCCUGCAUUAAAUUUAUCUUGGUUACCUGAAUAGAGAUUUUGAUAAAAAAAUAAAUAAUAAUUUAGAAUAUUUUUUAUUUUUUUUUAUUUGUUUAAUAAGUGAAAUUUGUUUCCUUCAGGAAUUUUUUUUUUUUUUAAUUAAAAAAAUUAUUAAAAUGAUCUCUGCUUUUUUAAAUUGUACUUUCUGCCUAAAUUUCUGGCUCUUUAAAUGCUUCCACAUCCCAGUCACUACUAGCAUUAAUUGAUAGCAGCAAUGAAGAAUGCUUCUUUUAUUCAGCCAUUGGGUGGUGUAAUAAAAUAUCAUACUCUAAUGAAUGUAUCUCUCAGUGGUGUGCUAGAUACAAGAGGCAUAAGCUGCAAUAUUACCAGCGGAUCUAUGGCUUUAUUCAAUGACGUGGGGACAUGAGGUGAUGAUUGUAGGUGGGAACAAAAACACCAAAUAUAAAUAUCAGGCAAAAAGCCACACAUGACAAGGUUGUAAGGAGUCCAGCAACAACAUUCAAAUGCAAAAAAACGAAAACAGUGAAUAGUGCUGAUAUCUCCUUUUAUAUACAGGGAGUGCAGAAUUAUUAGGCAAAUGAGUAUUUUGACCACAUCAUCCUCUUUAUGCAUGUUGUCUUACUCCAAGCUGUAUAGGCUCGAAAGCCUACUACCAAUUAAGCAUAUUAGGUGAUGUGCAUCUCUGUAAUGAGAAGGGGUGUGGUCUAAUGACAUCAACACCCUAUAUCAGGUGUGCAUAAUUAUUAGGCAACUUCCUUUCCUUUGGCAAAAUGGGUCAAAAGAAGGACUUGACAGGCUCAGAAAAGUCAAAAAUAGUGAGAUAUCUUGCAGAGGGAUGCAGCACUCUUAAAAUUGCAAAGCUUCUGAAGCGUGAUCAUCGAACAAUCAAGCGUUUCAUUCAAAAUAGUCAACAGGGUCGCAAGAAGCGUGUGGAAAAACCAAGGCGCAAAAUAACUGCCCAUGAACUGAGAAAAGUCAAGCGUGCAGCUGCCACGAUGCCACUUGCCACCAGUUUGGCCAUAUUUCAGAGCUGCAACAUCACUGGAGUGCCCAAAAGCACAAGGUGUGCAAUACUCAGAGACAUGGCCAAGGUAAGAAAGGCUGAAAGACGACCACCACUGAACAAGACACACAAGCUGAAACGUCAAGACUGGGCCAAGAAAUAUCUCAAGACUGAUUUUUCUAAGGUUUUAUGGACUGAUGAAAUGAGAGUGAGUCUUGAUGGGCCAGAUGGAUGGGCCCGUGGCUGGAUUGGUAAAGGGCAGAGAGCUCCAGUCCGACUCAGACGCCAGCAAGGUGGAGGUGGAGUACUGGUUUGGGCUGGUAUCAUCAAAGAUGAGCUUGUGGGGCCUUUUCGGGUUGAGGAUGGAGUCAAGCUCAACUCCCAGUCCUACUGCCAGUUCCUGGAAGACACCUUCUUCAAGCAGUGGUACAGGAAGAAGUCUGAUUUUCAUGCAGGACAAUGCUCCAUCACACGCGUCCAAGUACUCCACAGCUUGGCUGGCAAGAAAGGGUAUAAAAGAAGAAAAUCUAAUGACAUGGCCUCCUUGUUCACCUGAUCUGAACCCCAUUGAGAACCUGUGGUCCAUCAUCAAAUGUGAGAUUUACAAGGAGGGAAAACAGUACACCUCUCUGAACAGUGUCUGGGAGGCUGUGGUUGCUGCUGCACGCAAUGUUGAUGGUGAACAGAUCAAAACACUGACAGAAUCCAUGGAUGGCAGGCUUUUGAGUGUCCUUGCAAAGAAAGGUGGCUAUAUUGGUCACUGAUUUGUUUUUGUUUUGUUUUUGAAUGUCAGAAAUGUAUAUUUGUGAAUGUUGAGAUGUUAUAUUGGUUUCACUGGUAAUAAUAAAUAAUUGAAAUGGGUAUAUAUUUGUUUUUUGUUAAGUUGCCUAAUAAUUAUGCACAGUAAUAGUCACCUGCACACACAGAUAUCCCCCUAACAUAGCUAAAACUAAAAACAAACUAAAAACUACUUCCAAAAAUAUUCAGCUUUGAUAUUAAUGAGUUUUUUGGGUUCAUUGAGAACAUGGUUGUUGUUCAAUAAUAAAAUUAAUCCUCAAAAAUACAACUUGCCUAAUAAUUCUGCACUCCCUGUAGUAUAAUAAUUACAUUCUUCCUUUUUCCAGCGUAGUUUGAAAUAAUUUUGUUAAACUUGAUAAAAUGUUGUAAAACACAAAGCGAAUAGAUUACCAUAUUAUAUUUGACAUGUACUAAUUAAAGAUUGUUUAAAUUUUAUAUCUUGUUACCAGUAGAGUUCUAUAAACUGAAAUUGACACAAAGUAAUAUUAUAUUGCACAUUAUUUAGCACUGAUGGGUAAUUUUUCAUUAACGUUUAUGACUUUUUCCAUUGCACACUAAGCGUAGGAGGAGUGCAAACUACACUGGCCGCUAUCAAGAAUCACUCAACUCAAAUGUGUAGAGUCCCUUACUGUGAGUUCUUAAACAAAGUCUAUAUGUACCUACUAAUGCAUGUAGCUGUAAAAAAACAACAACUUUGCAAAGGAUUCUAUAGCAGGUACGAUAAAUACGUUGUACCAUACAUUCUAAGAUACAAGUCACACUGAGGUGGCCAACCCAACCACAGUCACCAGAACUGCUAGAAAUGCAGAUUACUUCAGCGGGUUUGUGGAUAAGAUUUGCAUGAAUUGGGCACCGGGAGAGCUGAUGAAAUUGGGUGGAAGUACAGUAAAGAGAGGUGAGAACAAAAAAGGAAGAAUGAUACAACUAUAGAUAACCAAACCAGCAUUGGGAUGGAUGCUCUCAGGUCUUUGAGGAGCAUUAAUCCCAUAUGCACGCUCCACUGUGUUCUACAUUCUAAGUUAGAUGGUAAGUCUAGGAUCCCGUGACUAGGCAACUUCAUCAUACGGGGGAAGAGCAGUGAAGCAAACUCCUGAACUCAGCUACUCACUACCCCUAAACCACGUCUAAUUGUGCAGAAUGGGUCUUUCCAGCUAAACAUUGAUAUGAGACCUUUACGUAAACGUAGGAGGUCAACAAUAUAUAAACAAAGUAUUUUACUAUUUACUAUACUAUCACAUUAACAAAUCAUUGUUAAAGCCACUACCGAGGUGACCCGGCCGUUGCCAAGCUUCAAACCCAGAUAUGAACAUGUAUGCAAAUAAUAAUUAAUAUUUAAGCAAUUGCAGUAUCUCAUUUAAUUAGCAAAAAUGCUACAAUUUUAUAGUAACUGAUUGAACCCACGGAGAAAAGCAGAUGGCAUGGGAUAUCUUAAAUGACUCACACACGAAGAAGUCCCACGGUGUAUGUACUGUCACUGAUCCUGCUGAAUAAUUUACAUACGCAAAACAAAAACAUUAUAAUUUGAGCAUUAUAGACUGAUGUUUAAAUCAUAAAACAUAGAGCUCUGGUUAAGCUCUUUCCUGUUGGUACAAGUUAACCUUAGGCUAGUACUGGCGUAUCGUGUGAUGCACUCGCUUUUUACUUUUUUUGUGUCAUCCCCAAAUUUGUGACUGUUUAACUGAAUUCAGGUCAGACGGGGAUUAUAUUACUAAUAUUCAGCAUUUUAAUCAUUUUUCCCAUUCAGCUAUUUUUGCAAGUAAGUUGCCAUUUCUGCAGCACUUACAGUCUACUGAAUAAACCCCUUAAUCCACUGGUGGCAAGCCUGUGCCUGUAAUCUCUGGUGCUCCAGCUGCUCUGGUAAUAGUCCUCACCAAAUCCCGGAGGAAGAGCCUGGUAUUCCCAUCAUGCAUUAUUUAAACUGUUCUUAUAAUGUUUUACAGAAAGCCAGCGCUGUUUUCUUUCUUUCAUUUUUAAGGAGCCUAAGAAUUGAUAUUAAAGUUUCAGGAUUCAUUAAUUACACUGUGUCGUGCUUUAUGGAAAAAUACAAAAGCUCUAAAAUUAAGCCGAUCAUUUUAAAUUAAACUACUAAGAUUCAUUUAACACAUUUAAUCACAAUAACAUAUUUCGUUUUGAAUUUUUCUAUAGACUAAACCGGAUUGAUUAAAUAGUUCAGGCAAGAAGUAAUGAUAGUUGUUUUUCUUGCUCAUCCUUGUGCUAACUUUUUACCUAACCAUUUUAUCGCCUUGCACUCUAUGCUCAGAGUCGCAUGGGUGGCCCAGGCCCCACAUUCACAAAUGCAGUGAAUAUUGAUAUAUAUGAUAAUGCAAGAACUACGCAAACAUUUGGUGGGAUUGAGCAACAAAGCAUUUGGAGGAAUGCUGCCUAUGACCUCAAGAACACCAUCCCCACCAUCAAACAUGGAGGUAGAAACAUUAUGCUUUGCGAGUGCUUUUCUGCUAAGGGGACAAGACAACUGCAACGCAUCAAAGGGACGAUGGACGGGGUCAUGUACCUUCAAAUUUUGGGUGAAAACCUAUCCAGGGCAUUGAAAAUGAGUCUUGGAUGGAUAUUCCAGCAUGACAAUGGUCCAAAACAAACAGCCAAGGCAACAAAGGAGUGGCUCAAGAAGAAACACACUAAGGUCUUGGAGGGGCCUAGCCAGUCUCCAGACCUUAAUCUCAUAGAAAAUCUGUGGAGGGAGCAGAAGAUUCGAGUUACCAAACGUCAGCCUCGAAACCUUAAUGACUUGGAGAGAAUCUGCCAAGAGGAGUGGGAUAAAAUCCCUCUUGAGAUGUGUGCAAACCUGGUGCCCAACUACAAGAAACGUCUGACCUCUGUGAUUGCCAACAAGGGUUUUGCCACCAAGUACUAAGUCGAAGGGAUCAAAUACUUAUUUCAGUCAUGGACAUUCAAAUCAAUUUAUAACUUUUUUGACAUGCGUUUUUCUAGAAUUUUUUGUUGUUGUUAUUCUGUCUCUCACUGUUAAAAUAUACCUACCAUUAAAAUUGUAGACUGAUCAUUUCUUUGUUAGCGGGCAAACGUUCAAAAUCAACAGGGGAUCAUAUACCUCUUUCCCUCACUGUAUCUAAUGUACCUUGGUAGCCUCUCAAUAAAUGUAAUAAAUUAACUUUGCACCCUCCAAAUAAAGUUGUCAAAUGAUGGAUUACAAUGAUAACCUAAAAAUGGUCAGAUAACAUUUCCCUCAGGACUUGCAUCCUAUCAUUGCCAUCCAAGGUGCAAUGAUAGGCCAGCCUUUGGGUGUCACGACACACACUAAGCAUGCUUGCUACUUAGUUCUGGGGAUCACAUGGUUAAAAAUAAAUAAAAAAUUUGUCUGUGCUGCACUGGAAACAAUGAUAAAAUAAAACCUUAAUAACACCAAUACUUAACUUUUAGUAUCACAAGCUGCAACCACCAAGACAGUUUACAAAUGGGAUGGUUUAGUUCCCCAAGCAAGUGUCAUGAUACUGGUCCCUCCUGGCGCCGUGCGAUCACAGAAAUUAUGUAUUUUCUGAGUUCUGACACACACACUUCCUGGUGCCUUAUUAUGACAUCAUAUAUAAUGUGGAUCCCUCUCAUUAGUCUCCUUUUAUAGUCAGCACAUGUCGCUUUUGAUGUUGUGUACAGCUUGUGACAUCACGGUCCUCUGUGACCAAUCACUACCCAGUAUUGGGUAUAUAUACUUGUUUCCUUGUCCUGUUUUGGUUCUUGUUACCCGAGUGUGUGUUUUAUACAGUGCAUUGGAUUUCCUGUUUUCUGACCUUGGCUUGUUUAAUUAUUGUAGCUCUCUGUUAUCCUGAUCUUGGUCUGGCUAUCGAUUCCGUGUAUUUCUAUAAUCCUGAUCUCUGCUUGUCUCUCGUUUAUUCUCUGUCUCCUUACAGAGAUUUCAUAUAUCUGUCUCAGGCACUAACCCGGCCUCUCUAAGGACCGGUACGUGUACCUUUACUGUUACCUUUAGGUUUGUCUGUUAGGGUAACUUUAAUCCUGACAGCAAGUUAGAUUAACCAACCCACAAAACACAAUUUAGUUAAAUAUUUAUGUCAGCAACAUACUAUUAAACAGGCUUCAUCGGGCUUGUGAAUCCAGAUAUGAGAGGUCAAAGACAGAAUUAGGUUAUUAUUAUUUUAGCAAUGAAAAUACUAACAAAUCUUACACUGUGUCAAAAUUACACAAAACAAAAGAACAUACAAAAUAAAAUGGGACUUAAACCAAACACAUAACCUACACAAGUGCAAAUAUCCCUGAGAGCCUUACACUGGGCCAAAUGGUCCGAACAAAUGAAACUAGGAAAGUUAGCUGUUCUAAUGUAAUUAACAGAACCCAUCAUUGCAGAUCAAUAGCAUCAGUCAAUGCAGAUCAGCGACUUAUAUCAGAACAUUACAUGCAAUAUACCACAAUGUUGGAUAAAACGAUGCAUCAAUGACAUUAUGCUCUAUAGCACGUGUCAAACUGUACUUGACUACAAUUGUUGAAUUCUAACUUCAGUGAUUCUUUACCAGAGAACAGUAAGCAUUUAUGUCUAAUAGCUCUCGUUCAUCACCCCUGCUCUAUAAAGUCCCAUUGCAUCAUAUGUACAUGACAGAUGUCAUUUAAAACAUUAAACAAUCAUGUCUAAUUUUAAGAGAAAAAUCCAUACUCCCUAAUUACUGUUUUUCCAAACAUGUUGUUUAGAGACACUAAGGUUCUUUCAGGAGUAAAGCCGCUAAUUCCGAAUCAUACCGUACAUGAUUUAGAAAGCCUUAUGAAAGGAAUUUAAAUCCAAGGAUUAGUGUCAUUUACUUUCCAAAGUACAGCAAUACAGUUUAUAGAUAAAGAAGCAAUUCGCUGCCAGAGGCAUCUAAUAUGUCAUUUUACUCUUGGUGAAAGUGGAAUAUUUAUACAGAGUGUUUCAAAUUGCCAUUUCACACAGACCGGACAAUUUAGGCAUCUUAACAAUAUACUCCUGGUGCCGAGUGUAAGGCUGCAUCUCACAGAGAAACCUAUGAAGCUCAUCCUGUAUUUUUUACAUGGCAAGAUAAAGACCAGUAGAAUCUCCCAUUCACAUGUUUGAGCAGUCCUCAUUUAUAUUUUUCAUUGAAUGGAACCAGUGUGUGUAGUUCUCUUCUGUUAUGGUAAAUUCCAAUAAACUACUUCUGCAAAGAACGACUAUAGUCACCAGUAAGGGCAACAGUAUUGGUUGGGAGAACUCAACCAUUUCCUCCUAUAAAGGUGUCGAUGGAAAUGGGUUAGAUCCUGGGUUAAUUAGGGUUAACACACUGCAACAGCUCCUCGGUUGUCUGUCUCAUUUAGUUAAAAAUUAGGACCGGGAUUGUGUCUAGUGUAGGACAUGAUGUACUAUACACUGGGAGUUGAGGUCCCAAAGUUGGGAUUGGCUGAUACAGACCCAGAUGGCUUUCUAAUCCGACCAUACCUGUUCUUAUUCAUCCCGCCCCCCUUGGCAGCCUCCCCAUACAGUUCAGAUGAGGAAGAGUUUCUCACUAUCUUGUAAUGUGUAGGGAAGGCCCGGGCCCGGAUAACGUUAAUUGAAAUGAUGCAUAUAUCUAUUUUAUAUGUACACUGACCAAAAUUAUAAACUCAACACUUUUGUUUUUGCCCCCAUUUUUCAUGAGCUGAACUCAAAGAUCUAAGACUUUUUCUAUGUACACAAAAGGCCUAUUUCUCUCAAAUAUUGUUCACAAAUCUGUCUAAAUCUGUGUUAGUGAGCACUUCUCCUUUGUCGAGAUAAUCCAUCCAGCUCACAGGUGUGGCAUAUCAAGAUGCUGAUUAGACAGUAUGAUUAUUGCACAGGCUGGCCACAAUAAAAGGCCACUCUGAAAUGUGAAGUUUUAUCACACAGCACAAUGCCACAGAUGUCGCAGGUUUUGAGGGAGCGUGCAAUUGGCAUGCUGACUGCAGAAAUGUCCACCAGAGCUUCAAGAGAAAUGUUUUCCCUGAAUUUGUCAAAAUGUAGCAAAGGGCAGAUCUUCAAUCAGCUUUCGCUGCCAUACCUUGUAUAUUCCCAUAACGGAACAUUCAUUCAUAUCUUAAAUUCAUCUAUUGAGUAUUGUUGUGGUUUGCAUGCAUGCCAUUGACAGGAAGAUCAUUGGAGGUCCAGGUGUUUAGUCUUUUAACCUUUUAGUUCUUUAUUUAAAUGUAGAGCAGGUUACAUCAGAAAAGCAAAAUGCUAAAUUCAAUUGAAAAAUAUUGCAUGUUUUGCUACAAUUGUUGUUAUAAAAAGAAAAGUCUGUUUGCCCACAACUAACAAAAAGCAUACAAAGAAAAAAAAUAAACAAUGAAUAAUAAAAAAAGGGGGGGGAUGGUAAAGAAAGAAGGUACUUUGGCCACAAGGCCUUAUAACCUGGAGAAUACCAGGUCUACAAAGGAAAAAAACAGGAAGAUCCAUUUCUGUCUACUGGAGUAGUCUUCAGUCAAUAUGGGCCUCAAUUCAACAAACUUUGCAAAUGAUUACUGUUAGCAAAAUGUUCUAAUUCGUUAAUUAAAGUCUAUGGGAAUGUUAAUAGAUUAAUUACUUGGAAAGUUUUUUCUAACAGUAUUGAAUCAUUUGGAAAGCUUAUUAAAGCAAGACUAUAGGCCUUAAUUAAAUAAUUUUGGAUACGUUUUUCAAAUGAUUUAAUAUUGAUGAAUACAUUUUUUUUAAUUUUUUUAAGAUUUGAUAUUUUUCAAAAUAUUGUAAUAAUUUUAUGUUUUUGAGAAAUGAAUAUAUUUUUUCACUCGGACAUCGUCUGGGGAGUAUGCGGAAUAGACUGAAAAGUCGGAGGGGACCUCUACACAUAGUUACAUAGCUGAAAAGAGACUUGCGUCCAUCAAGUUCAGCCUUCCUCACAAAUGUUUUUGCUGUUGAUCCAAACACGGUUAACUUUUGUUACUAUUUUAAUAUUUUGGAAAAUAAAUCAUUUUAAAUGCUCAUCCAAAAUUAUUCAAUCAUUUGGAAAACGUAUCCAAACAAAUUAAAUUGAGGCCUAAAUGCCAAUAAGCAUUAUAGGAUUUAGAGGUCCUAAUAUAAAACGUAUAGCAUUCCAUUAGGUCUCACAGAUACUAUGUAUAUUGAUUUAGCGUGGUUGGUCUGGCAUGUUAUUGUAAUAAUGGCUUUUCUCAGUACUCACAUAUUUUAUUUGAGCAGUAUAGGCUCUUGGGAGUAGUUCUUGCAUUGUUUAUAAUCACAAACUGGCCUUGUGUAAACAGUAAAUGCGUAUAUGAAUGACCAAUACAAUCUAUAUGUUCAUUCUUUGGAUACUUAAUGCAUUUUCGAUUUAUUGUUCUUGACAGAAAUGAUUUACAGACAUACGGCUGCAAUAGAUGGAGAAUUUGUCCACUUUGAAAUCCUUGAUACCGCUGGACAGGUAGGACUCUGGAAAUAGAGAUUUAUCACAAAUGGCAAAGAAAAAAUAGAAUGUAACAAACAGUGAUAGCCUGUCUCCUAACGUAAAUCCUAAUAAAGAAUUAUAUUAACACGAUACUUUCUGAAAUAGUAAUAAAAUAAAAAUAAUGGUAAUAUGAAUAAUAAUUCAUAGGAAAAGCAUAUUAGCUAACAUAUUAGGAAUGGUUGCAAUGUUGUAAGAAUUUGUCUAGUUACCAUUACAGAAAACGUAAAGGGACACUAUAGUCACCAGAACAACUACAGCUUAUUGAAUUUGUUCUGGUGAGUAGAAUCAUUACCUUCAGGCUUUUUGCAGUAAACACUGUGUUUUCAGAGAAAAUGCAGUGUUUACAUUACAGCCUAGGGAUACAUCCACUGGUCCCUCCUCAGAUGGCUACUAGAGGUGCUUCCUGGGGCAGUGCUGCACAGUGUGACUGACAUUCAGUGUCUCCACCCUCUGCAUGCAGACACUGAAUUUUCCUCCUAGAGAUACAUUCAUUCAAUGUAUCUCUAUGAGGAAAUGCUGAUUGGCCGGGGCUGUGGUUGACUUGUGCUGGUUCUAUCCCUGAUCUGCCUCCUUGACACUCUCAGCCAAUCCAAUGCUUUAAUCAGAAAGCAUUGUGAUUGGCUCAGAACAUAACUUCUGAUAAUGUCAGCCAAGCAGGCAGAUCAGGGGCAGAGCCAGUAGCAGCAGACAUGAACACGUGUUCCUGACCCUACAGUGUUUCUUUAAAGUAAUUGUACUUCAUGUUGAUCAUUUUCAAAAUAUGUUCAGAAGUUUGUGGCUUUUUUUAACCAAAUAAAUAAUAAGUUUUCUAAAUUAAAUAAAAAGAUUUUCUUUGGGUAUAAUGGGCAUGCAGCAUUAAAGUUCAUCGAACUAUUUCCUAUAUAUAUGGACUCAGAUCAUAAGCAAAAUAUGUCACAGUAUAUAACCAAAAGUAAACAUGGAACAGAUAAUGCCAUGGAGUGAGGUGGGUUUGCAAUAAAAGGGGUAACUAAGAGUAAAAGUGCUGAAAUGGUGAUAGCUGCAAAGUAUGAAUUAACUUCCCUGUAUGUUGGACAUGUGAUGGCACGAACAAACGUUUCAUAGGGGGUAAGGUGUGUGAAAAGGAACCCAGGAAGCGUCUGGGAUCUACCGUUAGAAAAUUCUAGCUGUCAAUGUAGUGAAACUCUAUAAAGAAGCCAAAAUGUGUUCAUAAUCAAUAACAUGCUUUGCUAGCCAACUGUCCAGGACCGUGGAAUAUCUGGCACAAUGUAAUAUAACGUUAAACAUUUCACUUUGCUGUACGCGGAGUGAGUUCUUGAUGUUGUCUGCUUUUGCCAUCUACUGGCAGUACUACAAAUGAUUUGGUUAAAGCGGUGUUCUUCAGAAGGAUAUUGAUACCUUAGAGAGGGUUCAGAGAAGGGCUACUAAACUGGUUCAUGGAUUGCAGGAUAAAACUUAACAGGAAAGGUUAAAGGAUCUUAACAUGUAUAGCUUGGAGGAAAGACGAGACAGGGGGGAUAUGAUAGAAACAUUUAAAUAAAUAAAGGGAAUCAACACAGUAAAGGAGGAGACUAUAUUUAAAAGAAGAAAAACUACCACAACAAGAGGACAUAGUCUUAAAUUAGAGGGACAAAGGUUUAAAAAUAAUAUCAGGAAGUAUUACUUUGCUGAGAGGGUAGUGGAUGCAUGGAAUAGCCUUCCAGCUGAAGUGGUAGAGGUUAACACAGUAAAGGAGUUUAAGCAUGCGUGGGAUAGGCAUAAGGCUAUCCUAACUAUAAGAUAAGGCCAGGGACUAAUGAAAGUAUUUAGAAAAUUGGGCAGACUAGAUGGGCCGAAUGGUUCUUAUCUGCCGUCACAUUCUAUGUUUCUGUGUGAAAUUCCAGUACUUUUACACUCUUUCUAUCAAAAACGUGCAUUAAGAUCUUGGAACCAACCAAGAUUUUUCUAAAAUACACACUUUUACUUGUUUACUAUUACACUUUUUUAUUUUGGUUUUCUGGGCUUUAAUACUAGCUUGGUGUAAUAAUAGUACGUAUUUUUCUUCAGAGUUAUAUUUCUGUAUUUAGUGAAGACAAUGCAGGAGCUGAGCUUAACCGAUGCUGAAAUAAAAAGGAUUAAAGGAGAUCAGACAAUUCCUAGAAUUUUUAAUAUUAUGUUCAUUUAUCUCCUAUAUUUAAUUAACAAAUAUGUAUUUUUAUGUAUUUUUGACGUGUGAAAGAUAUAAUUAAUUAUAGAAAUCCACUGGUCACUGGUAAUCGUUGUCCUUUCCUCCUCGCAGUCACCAUGGAGAUGAGAGGACAACUGACACAAUGUAUCUAUUUCUCCUCCUGAUUUGCAUUGUCUGCCCUGACUGUGCCUGUUGGUUAAAUGUUAAAGAGAACGAUUAUUCCUAGCACUAAAGUCCCCUUUAGUGUCCCCUUCCCUAGCAAUCUCCCUCUCCCCCUUAAGGCGCAGAAAGGGUUGAAAAAAACUUUUUGUCAGGUACCUGAUUCCAGCAUCGAUGUCCCUCGCUGCUGGUUCAGGCUCAACCUCCACUAGAGGUGGACUUAACCCUCAAAUGUAAUUAUUACGGUUUCUCAAUAACUGCAAUAUUACAAUUACACAGGUUAAGGGGACAGGGAAACUGCAUCCAAAACCACUUCAAUGAGAUGAAAUGGUCUUGGUGCGUAUAGUGUCCAUUUAAUAUAAAUUUGAAAGAAAAUAGAGCAAGCAUUGCAGGGAAAAGUUAACCCCUUGUUGGUAAUUCUCUGUGUUAUAUUCAAGGGCGUAAGUUCCAGAGAGGCGAUGGCACCUUUUAAAUUUUACCUGAUGGUAUUCUUGUAUUUUUUUUAUUAAUUUUUUUUUUAUACAUUCAGAAUGUUUUGUUCUUUUUUGCAUUGGUUAUUUCAUAGUUUUCCUAUUAUCUUAAAGAAUAAGUUUCCAAGGGCAGAAGAUUUCUGGAAAAUACUAAAUACCUCUCAUUGAGAUGAGCACAUUUAGAGCGAUUUUUAUUUUCUGAAUCAAGCCUUGAAUUAUGUUUGGGAAAUACCCAAAUUAAACUUCUGGACAUAUUUGAGGAUUUUCACCAAAUUUUGAAAUUCCAAGGUCAAUUGGGUGCUGAGUGCACAACACGGACAGAGUUUGAAGUAAUGUGAUUAAUAUAAUGUGACUGCAUUCAAGAAACGUUAUUUCAGUAUAAGUCCAAGACAACCAAACAUCAUACUAGGUGUAUAGUCAUUUUGUAGUAAAGCUUACUCACUAAACACAGGAUUGUAGUCUAUUAAAAGUUGAAAUGCUACAUUUAGCCCCAAAAUAGCUGAUUUGGAAAUAUUUUACAACUCCCCAAAAUAUUGCGUUUUAUUUUUGAAUUCUCUACAAUUCUAUGUUUAGAGAAAACAUCCCACUUGGCUUAAUGGCUAAUUAACAAAUGACUGGAUUAAUACUAAAUUGGAAACAUGAGUACAAAAAGAGAAUGUUUUCGUAAAAUAAUUUAUCUUUGUUUUGGUUUUACCCAAAGGAGGAAGAUUCUUUACAGAUCGAAGAGAAAAUCAAGUGGGGUGAUGGUUUCGCUGUUGUUUAUUCGGUGACCGAUCGCUGUAGUUUUGACGAAGUGAUGAGACUGUGUUUUCUUAUUAACCAUAUUCACUCCAAUGCAAAAAAAGGGACCAGUGACCUUCCUCCUGUUGUGAUAGUGGCAAACAAGAAGGAUCUCCAGUACGAUCGCAUGGUUUCCAUUGAAGAAGGAGAAAAGCUGUCACAGGCAUUGAAGUAUCCAUGUUACGAAAUUUCCACGAGAGACAGCUAUGAUGAGACGGCUGUAGUUUUUAAUACUAUUUACUACGAGCUGAUGAAACAAGGAAACCUUUCGCCGGGAUCCUUCAAGAAAAGGGGUGUUUCAAAAUUAAUGGAAAAAAUUCCCAAACUGUACGCUAACUCUGCACUAAACACAAGUGGCAGGAGUCUAAGUUUCAAUUCGUUUCGAGAUUACAUUCCGGAAUGAAUUGUGGGUGUAAACUGAUCCUGAUACUUCUAAUUCUGCAGUAUGAACAGUAUUAACUGGAGUAGAUAACGCUAAGAAUGUAUUUUCUGGAUUUUUCUUACAAUUUACUACUAACUCUAAUCUGGGCCAGUUUACAUUCGUACACACCAGACAUCAUCAGCAAAUGAAUACUAUGCCAUAGCUGAUAUAGCAGAAAGUGGUUGUGGAAUGAAAAAAUGGUCCAAACAUGGGAAGGGGACAAGUAGGAAUAAGUAGCAAAAAAAGCAGGAUUAAGGACUAAGGUCAACCUUACUGAUACAUAAGCCACUUCACUUACCUCUAAACAUGGCCUACAGUAGAUUACGGACUAUAUUUAUUCAGAUAAAGCAGAAUAAUUAAUUUAUUAACAGACAUAAAUAUUACAAAUAUAUACAAAAUCACAAUAAAAGAUAAAUUAAGACUGAAAUAUCUUAAUACCCAAUUUGCAUAUAUAACUAUUCUCGGACACAUACUCGAUACUUUAAAUAUUCAACAAUGAGCAAGACAAUGGUAGGUUCCAAUUAAAUACCCCAAAAACAGCAACAUGUUAGUGAGGCUUUAAUGAAAUCAAACUGUGUGUUAAAUGUAGAGAAAAACCAUCACCACCAGCCAACUGUCCAUCAGCAAAAAACUACUGACCACCAUCACUGGGAGGUGUAGCCUAUGUCACUGUCAUAGACAAGAAGAUAAGGUCUGUGUAAUUAACCCCAUAAACACACAACUCCCUAAAGUUCUUAAAGCAAUUCUAAACCUAUACUGCAUAUUUGCACAACAAACACCUUUUAAUAAAUUCUUCUUCACCAACAUUCAAAUACCAUUUGAAAACAACACAAAUAUAUAAUGUAUCCAUAUAAAGAGUCAAACGUGGUAAUAUUUCAGAUUAUCAAGAGAAUGUUUAAAUUUACAAUGUGAAACUUUAAGCAGC